GAUCAGUAAUGUGAAGCAGCCUAUUGCAAAUGCUUCUCUUCUUGAGGCAAACCCAUUGAAUUAUGGUGCCGGGCACAUCUGGCCUAGCCGUGCAAUGGACCCAGGCCUGGUCUAUGACCUAACGACUAAAGAUUACGUGAAUUUUCUAUGCUCCAUUGGCUAUAAUUCAACCCAGUUGUCACUUUUUAUUGGUAAGCCAUACAUAUGCCCGUCGCAGAACAAUGGUCUGCUGGAUUUCAACUAUCCAUCCAUUACUGUCCCGAAUCUCUCAAGCAAUAAGACCACGUUGUCCCGAACCUUGAAGAACGUGGGGACUCCAAGCUUGUAUAGAGUUAAUAUCAGGGCACCUGGAGGCAUAUCUGUGAAGGUUGAGCCAAGAAGCUUGAAGUUCGAUAAGAUAAACGAAGAGAAAAUGUUCAAGGUCACUCUAGAGGCCAAGAAAGGGUUUAAGAGUAAUGACUAUGUGUUUGGAGAGAUAACCUGGUCUGAUGGGAAACACCAUGUGAGGAGUCCUGUUGUGGUGAAGAAGAUGGAAGUAGCAGCCUAAGGUUGAAGGACACUGACCAGGCGUCUGGAUUUGUAGGUGGAAGGCCAGCGUGUAGAGAUCUAUAUAUCUCCAUGGUCACCAAAUCGAUCUUCAAAUUCCCGUUCCAUGUCAUGACAAGUAUCGAAUGUCACCAAAUCGUGUCAUUUUUUUUAUGCCACUAAUCUAGUGAUUGAACUAAGAAAAUAAAAAUAAAAAUAAAUGGUUUUGUUUUAGAAUAUUUUGGAAUGGUUUUUGGUUUUUAUCUACUCUAUUGAUUUUGUUUAGUUGCUUUAGUAUUUUUGUUUUUCUAUUUUUAUGUUAUUUAUGGCUCUGUUUUUUACCUUUUGUUGUGUGACAACUGAUUAGGUUACUGUACAUUAAGUUUUUUGAGAGUGUAGGUAAUGCUUGGAAGCCUUGCUUGCCAUCUUUCAUUUAUUAACAAAAUCUUAUGAUAAAGACAUUCAAUUGUCAUAUCCCUCAAUUGGAGAACAAAAGGAUAUCCAUACAUUUUGUAGGUGUCAAAAAAUAUGAAAGAUCUAUUUAUGUUAUUUAUUUACCUUAGUUUUUUUUUAGGCUUAAUAAUUCUAUCUAGAAAAAUUAUUUCUAGUAUCUAAUUAAUAACAUAUUGCACUGCGAUUAAGCUAACAAUGAAUGAAUUCCCACAAAGAUUUAUCUACCUAUCGUGGCUUUUUUUUUCUUCUCUUUAGGGUUCAUAAUUUUACCCAAGAAAAUCACAUAUUGCAUUACAAUUAAGUUAAUGAUGAAUGAAUUCCUACAAAGACCUUUUACCGAAGAAUGUGACCAUCUUAAGAGGUAGUAUAACAUCAUAAUUUUCUAAAAUAUCUUAGGUGUUGUUUUUGAACAAGUAUAUCCAAUUCAAACAUAAUAGUAAUAUAUAUUAUUUGGAAAAUUCUACGUUCAAUUUGUUCUUUGUCACUUAACUUUUUUUAUUCUUAAUUUAAUCAUUUCACAUUAAAUUAAUUUAGGAUUGAGUUUAAUGUUUUAUUUCAGUUGGGCUCUAGCGAUAUUAAUAAUAAGUUUUGACGUUAAGUUGAAGAUUAAUUUGGUAAAAUAAAAUUUAAAUUUAUUGAUUCAAAUCAAUUAAAAUGUCAACGACUUAAUUUUAAACUGUAAAUACUCAGUCUUUUUUUCUUUAAAAAAUAAUAUUUUUAUUUCAACUUUCUAACUCAAUUUUUAAUUGAAACUAACAUAUAUAACGCAUGAAUACAUCAAACUACAGCAACAAAAGAGCAGUCUUUUGUUGUAGAGUAUGAACAUAAAAUUAAACAGUCUUCUCUAAUUUAGAGCAUAAAAUGAAAUCGAUGUGCUAAUAGCUAACCAUAAACAGACAUAUUGAGGAAUUAAACUGCUGGCAUGGUCAUACCCUCCUGUUGAUAUAAUUGGGUCAAAUGGAAUAUUUAUUUUAAGCAAAAGCAAGAAAAAAGUAGUCUAAAAUAUGAUAAAGUAGUAGUAGUUGUGUUAAGCAAAAAGGAAGAAAUGUUGUCUUAUCAUCCCACGUUUUUGCCUGCAUGGACCGACGGAUCGCCUGCGAGAAGAAUGCUUUUUUUUUUUUAAAGCAUUCUUCUCAUAGGCGAUCCGUCGGUCUAUGCUUGAACAUGUAAGAAAAGUAAACCUAAUGUAUUCUCAGAUCUUUUAUUAUUAUUAUUAUAAAGAAUAAGUUUGAACUCCAUCUUUUUCUAAAAGAAAGGAGAUACCAAUACUAUUACAAAGAAAAAAAAUGAUUGGGAUUUUGAAAUUACUGUAUACCUAGACAUAAUGUAUUGUAAACGGAACAAUAUAAUUAUGUUUUUGCCUUUAUAUAUAGAAAAAAAAAAAACAUUAGACUAGCUAUUGGGAGUAAUACUGAAUUUUUUCAUGGACCAUGUGUUCAUUAUUAUAUUUAUUAGGGACAAUGCAGUCUGUUUACAUUUUUAUAGAACAAUGUAAUGACUAGAAUAACCUUAAAAUCAAAAUAAUUUUAUCUGAAUUUAGAGAUUGACUUGUUUUUUCAUUUUUAUAUGUAUAAUGAGUCUACAUACUUAACCUUGGAUGCAAAUUUUAUUAAACUUGGGAUCGAGGGCUUCUUUGUAUUUUCAUCAUUAUUUUUUAGUUAUAAUAUGGUCAAGUUUGGGGUAACUUGGUAUUUUAGUAAGUGUAAGAAAUAUUUUUUUUUUAAAAAAUGAUUGACGUGUACAACACACACAUUAACGUGUUAGGCGGCAUAUGCGGAUUUAUAUGGUGUUAGAAAAUGGCCAUCCGUGACGGUUAACAAUCCUCUUGGCAUCCCUUUUCUGAUGAAGUGGCGGCGUGUGCAGCGGUGUGGCUCCUACCACUUUUUUUUUUCUUCUCACUUCUCCUUGAAAAACAAGUUACCCAAUCAAAAAUCUAUGUUUUCCUUUUAAUUUUUUUUUUUUAAGUUUAUGAUUUAGUUCCCUUUUGAUUAUCUUAUUUUCAUUUUGAUUUUUUUUGAAAACUUUAAAUUUUUUAUUUAUUUUGCCUUUAAUUUAAAUGUUAUUUUUAUUUCAUGUUUGAUUCUCUUUCUUUUGAUUUCUUAUUUAUGUAUUGAUUUUAUUUUUUUUGUAAAAUGUAAGAUUUUUUUCAAAUUCAGCCUAAAAUCAAACAAUGUUAUUUUUAUGCUUUGUCUGUUUUUGUUUAACAUUUGAUCUUUAUUAUUUUAUAUUGCUAUUUUAUUUUAUGGAACCUUUUGUCAAAUUAUUUUUUUUUCUUUCAAUUUCAUCCCUCAAUCUUGGGUUGGUUAGUUAGAAAUUGAGGGUCAUGGUUUUUUUCUAUUGAGUUACACCAGUUUCAUGACUCUGGUAAAAAAUUUAAAAGUUUGGGUCAACUUGGGUGGUGUCGACUUUUUUCCCCUCUUUUUACACUAAUUUCCUUUUAGUUUUACUCCUUUAAUACUUUAGAUUUGUGAAGUUAUUCGUGUUUUCUUCAAACUCAUUUUUAAAAUCUAACUAGAUUUAUUUCACUCCAUUAUCAUGGUCUCUUGACCUUGAUAGUAAGUUUUUCUAUUUACUUAGGGAUCGCUCUACGUUUUUCUUUUGGAGUUAUCUUUUUAAAAUUGAUUAUUUUUUUCUAGUUUAGUUGUUCAUUAUUUUUUUUUGCAUUUAGGCUCCGUUUGUUUGCAGGAAAGUGAAUUCCUUUUGGAAAGUGAAUUCCGGGAAAGUAUUUUCCGAUGUUUGGUAGUGUUAUGGAAAAUGAAUUGGAAAACACUUUCCAGUGUUUGGUUAUGUCAUGGAAAAUGAGCUGGAAAAUAACUUAUUAAUAUUUUAUUUUUUUCAAGUUUAUUAAAAUAAUGAGGAACAAAUCUUACAAAUUAAAAAGUUGAAUGAUAAUGAAAUUGAAAAAAAUAUAUAAUUUCAUAAAUUAUCUCAAAUAAAACAAAUAAUAAUCAAAAUAAUAGGGGUCAAAUCUAAAAAAUUAAAAAAAAAAUGAAAAAUGAAGAAAUUAAAAUAAUAAUAAUCAACAUUUCAUAAAUUAUUUCAAAUAAAAUAAGUAACAAUCAAAAGAAUGAGGAUCAAAUUUGAUAAAUAAAAAAUUUCAAUAAAAAAAUGAUAAGAAAAAAGCAAAUACAAUUAUAAAAAUAAGGACCAAAGUUAAUAUAAAAAUAAAAUUUUAAGAGAUGAAAUUGAAAAAUAAAUAUUCAAAACAAAAUAUAUAUAGUAAUCAAAAGUUUGAGGAUCAAAUUUGAUAUAAUCAGCAAAUAAUGGCAUUUCUAAAUUUUUCACAACUUCCGGAAAGUGUUUUCCCCUCAAAUUUUUCAGGAAAACACUUUCCUGAAAACCAAGCCAAAUUUUCCUUUUACUGGAAAGUGUUUUCCAUUGACCAACUUUCCUACUGGCAAAUAAACACAAGAAAGUUUGGAAAGUGCUUUCCCGGAAACCACUUUCCGGAAAACAAACACAGAUAAAAGGAAAACACUUUCCUGAAAACCAAGUCAAUUUUUUUUUUGACUAAAAUUGACUGGAAAGUGUUUUCCGUUGACCGGAAAGUGUUUUCCGUUGACUAGAAAGUGUUUUCCGCUGACCGGAAAUUGUUUUCCGUUGACCAACUUUUCUAAUGACAAACAAACACAAGAAAGUUUGGAAAAUGGUUUCCCGGAAACUACUUUCCGAGAAACAAACAAGUCCUUAGCUUCAUAAAUUUGGGAAAAUGAUGAUUUUUUAAAAUAAAAAAAAUACUUUUAUACAUAUAUAUGCAUUUAUAUUAUUUCUUAAAAAAGUGUUAAAAUUAGAACGACAAUUUAUAAUACUUCAAACAUGUUAUUGUUUCAUAGCUCAUCGAACUAGAUAUAUGUUAUAAUAUCUUAAUUACCAGCAUAGAUCAAUCUUAAUUAUAAUCCACCAUAAGUACAAUAACAUGAACAGGCCAUGAAUUAUGACACGGUGGUCUGCAACUGUAUCCUUCUGCUCUUUUGCUCUUCUUUUUCUCGACAAGUAAUUGUUGAGUGGGUCUUUGUAGCCAGAAACCAACACUUUCUUUUGGGUGUGUGUAUAUAUAUAUUUUAUACUAUACCGCAAGUCUUGGAGACAAUCUUCCACUUUAUUAGCCAUAUAUUUGUGGGUUCCAUAUAAAUUCAACAAGAUCAAUGGCAAUUAGGAUUAUGUUUUGUUAAUAGAUUAAAUAGAUAAUUUGAUUCACGUCAUUUGUCUCUCAAUAUUAGAAUUAAUUACUCGGUUGAUUCUGAAAUUUAAUGAUAACUUUACGGAGUUAAUCUAAUGGUUAAGAAAUCAUGCUUUUAUCUUUAUUUUUUCAGCUAAACAUUUGGAAUUAACAUUCUAAAAAAUCCAUUAAAUUUCUUUAAAUAUAUCGAAUCGAUGUAUUUUUUUUUAAAGAAAAACUUAGUUUUAAUACUGGACACGCUAAAAAAAUAGGGUUUAAAUACUAUGGUGCACAACUUUGAUAAAUGUCGUUAUGAAAAAGCUUAUGCUGUCCACCUUUUCGACAAGCAUGAUACUCCUUUAAUCUUCUUUUCUAAGUAAAACAGGACACCACAGUUCCAUUUAUUUUUCCUUUUUGCUCCAAAAGACAGCUUACAAAGCCCUCCUCUCAUCAAAAGAGGAAGUAAAGUAAGAAGAAAAGGGAGAAAACAACAAUAAUCCCGAUGAUAAAGGGCCUAGCUAGCUACAGUACUGUUCCGUUUUAGGUUCCAGUCUUCUAUCAGUUGUGAGAAAAAGAAAAUGAUUUGGUUAAUGUAUUGCGUACAGCAGAAAAGAGAGGAGAAAACAUCAACAAUAAAAAAAAAAAAAGCAAAACAUUCAAGAACAGUAAUGCGGUGUUAUCAUUGCACUAACUCGUAAUGUAAAUUAUAAUUAGACAGUGAAUCCAGGAUUAAAGAGAACAUGCGUUGGAUCUAUGAUGAGGAAAGAACAGAAAAUACCAAUGAAGGCCUUCGUCUAAAUAAAAUGGACAAUACACUGCAUGAAUCCACGGUGUUUUCACUCACAAAGCACAAUAAAUAACUUAGCUGAUUUAUUUAUUUAUUUAUUUUUUUUUUGUAACUGGGUGAUGUUUACGGUAAAAUAAACUGGAUUUCUUGUUUUUCCUUUGUUUUCACCUCUUUGCUGAGGGGAUGGAACUGUUGAAAGCUAAGCUAAUUACUUGUGAUUAAAGUCUUAGAAGAAGAUUACGUAGACCGAAGGAAGAAGGAUGAAAAAAUUGAAGAAAUUCUGUUAAAACAGUUAAAGAGUUAGUUAUAAUCGUUAUGGCAGUUAUAUCAGUUUUUACUGUUACAAAAACUGUUACAAAUCAUUCUUACAUGUGUAAGAAUCGUGACCCUCCAUUAAUGGAUGGAUGAGAUGAUCUUGAUUCCUAAAAUACCGGAAUCAGUUACAUACAAUGUAUAUAAAUGCAGAGUUUGCUGCAUUGAAAAAUAUAUAGAAAAUACACAAGAAUUUCUUCAUAAUCUUCUCUGCACAUUUAAGCAUAUUCUUCUUUUUAAAACCUUCAGAAAAUAAACAUGGUAUCAGAGCUUACAAACUGAUUCCAAAGGAGCGUAAACUGUGACAAACAGAUUGAUUAAACUAUUAUUUACUCAAAAAAUGGUAGGAUCAAGCUCUGUUGGAGGAGAUUUAAGAACUUCAUAGUUUAAUGGCACAAAUUAUGAUUUUUGGGCUGUAAAAAUGGAGACUAUCCUCAUAGCAUUCGAUCUAUGGGAAGUAAUAGAAGUUGGAAUCAAUUCUCAUCCAUCAUCUAAGGUUGCAACUGGAUCAUGCGAUGAAGAGAGUGAAGUUGAGCAAACUACAUUGCAUGCAUCCACGACAUCCAGAGAAGAAAAAAUCAAGAAUGCAAAGGCAUUAAGCCUUAUACAAGGAGCAUUAACAGAUGACCUCUUCCCACGAAUAAGAAAUGAAAAGACUGCAAAAGGAGCUUGGGACAUUUUGAGUAGAGAAUUCAGAGGAGAUAAAAAGGUUAGAGCUGUAAAACUUCAAGCAGUGAGAGCUGACUUUGAAUACCUGAGAAUGACAGAAAGUGAGAGCUUAGAUGGAUAUCUAGCUAAAUUCUUUGCAACUGUGAAUAACCUGAAAUCAUUAGGAGAAGAUGUAUCAGAAAACAGAAUUGUGCAGAAAUUGCUAAUGAGUCUAAGCAGAAGGUAUAAGUCCAUUAUGAGUCCCAUGUAUGAAGGUGUGGUAUGUAUCUAUCUAUUGUGAAAAAUAUGGUGAGACAAGGAAUUCUUUGUCUCUUAGCGGUGAAAAAUGGACCGGAAGUCGCCACCUAGUAUUCUGGUUGUUAGAAACCCUAACUGGUCUUUAGAGAUCAGGUAUGGAGACUAGUUGCGUAAAGGGAAGGUGUUAACACCCCAACUACUCCCUACCUAAGAUAGGCUGCAUUGUUUUGUCUAAUAAAAUCUAAGUCAUGUUGUGGUUUCUUAUUGUUCAGAAUAUGCAUUACGUGUAAUGUCAUACCCCAGGUUCUAUUGUCCGAAAAAAAGAAUUAAAUAUCCGGAAUACACAGUACGUGUAAUAUCAUGCCCCGAAUACUAAGAGAUAAACAAAAUAAAAUUUUUGUUUGUUUUUGAAAUUUUGGCCAAUGUUCACUUGACUUUAAUAAACUGGUUAUUAAAGCCAAAAUGCAUGCUAAACAUUGAUUUUUGGUGUAUAUAAAAAACACAAUAUGAUUUUUUAGCUUGGAGACACUUGGCCGUAUGCACAAAAAUAUUUUUUUCUUUUUUUUAAUUUUUUUUUGUAUUUUUGGAAGUUUUGACGAAAACCGGGUAUUUUAAUAUCGGAUUUUGUAUUUUUAGCAACAUAAAAACACUGCUUGAUGUUAAUCAAAAUGACAUAAAAAAAUACACGGGAAACUUGUAAAAUUACAAACAAAUAUUAUUUUGAAUUUUUUUUUAACAAAAAAAAAAAGAGGCCAGAUCUGGCCCAACCAUCCUGGGCUGGGCCUGACCCGGCCCAUAUAUUGUGGGCUGGACUCAACCCAGCCGUAUGGGCUGGGCUGGACUCAACCCAGCUGAUUUUCCAACCUGUAACCAAUGAAAGGGGUUGGUUACUGUACACAGCACAGUAACCAGUAAAAAAUAUAAUUAGAUAGUUACUGUGCACAGCACAGUAACUAGCUAAUUAAAUCUUCAUUUGCUGCAGAACGUAAACGUUUUGCAUGCAAAUGAAGCUGAAGCGAAAAACAGACAGGGGAGGGGAGAAAAUUACCUGGAGCGAUGGCGACGCUGGCGACAACGGAUGUGGCAGGGGUGGUGGUGUAGGCGGCGACUGUUCUCUUUCCUUGUCUCCUAUUUCCUCUGUUUCUCUUCUCAGCCACCCUCUCCUCUGCCUUUUUUUCAUUGUCUGCUCUUCUUCUCCUCUUUCCCUUUGUGGUUGUCAGUGGCGUUUCAGAUGGCAGUGUCAGCGGUGGUCAGGUGGUGUGUUGUGGCGGUGGAGAGGAAGCAUGAUGGCAGCUGCGGUUCUUCUUCUUCUCCGGUAUAAAUAUAUUCUUGUCACUUCCCUUUCUCUUCUCUGCCUCCUUUGCCGGUUUCCCUUUCCCUCCUCUGCCUUCCCCAAAUAUUCCCCUCCCUUUUUCUGUAAUACUUCCCUCAGGUGGUUCCAGCUUUCCCUUCUCUCCCCAGUCUUUCUCUCUUUCGGUCUCUUUAAUAAACUCUCAGUUCUUUCUCUUGGUUUCCCUUAAAAAUCAUUCCCAGCUUCCUCCCUUUUUCUCCUCUCUUUUCUCCCUUCUUUCGGCACUCCCUCCUCUGGUAUUUAUAGGCAGAGGAGGGGAGGGCCACCUUACCCUUGUCAUGGUGCAGGGUAAGGUGAGCCGAGGAGUUGUUCGCAGGGUAUGGUGCUUUCAGUGCGAAGGCGUGGUGGUGUCAGUGAAGGGACAAGUCGGGUCGUCGUUGGUUUUUUGGGUUUUGGGACAGAGAGAGAGGGGGAAAUAGAAAACAGGGGAAAAAUGCUUCUUCUUCCCUUGCUCUUUGCGUGUGCAGGGGAAGAAGAAAGCUUAUGGUGCCGUUCACAACGACACCGUUUGUCCUUUUUUUUUGGAAAUGCAUGAAACGACGCCGUUUUGACCAAAACGCGUUGUUUCAUUUAAAUGAAAACAGGUGCCAGAAUGCAUUCAAUUUCAGAUCAGCCCCUCAAUUUGCGCGCUUUUUCAUUGUAGUCCUUGGUUUUGAAUUUCUUCGAUUAAGUCCUUAAUUGGCCACUAGACUUCAAUAUGCAUGCAAUUAAGCCCCUGAUUUGACCCAAUCAACUCUAAAAAAUAUAAUUUGACCCCAGAACUUCAAUUUCUUCGAAUUAAAACCCCAAAUUGACUUUAAAAUCAAAUUUUCUUGCAAUCAAACCCUCCAAUAAUUCAAUUAAACUUUCAAUAAAAUUUAAUUGAGUCCAUAAACAUCUGAUUUUGUACUUUUCUUCCUCCAAUAAAAUUUCCUUAAUCAAAAAGGCUCUCACUGGUCAAUGAUAUACUGUCAAAUUUCGAUUCAUUGAUAUAUUUUUGAUAUAUUAUUAUUAUUAUUAUUAAUUAAUUAAUUAAUUUUUUUAAAAUAAUUGUUUUUCUUAUUUCUUAUACGGGGACCAAAAAAAGGGUUGCAACAGGAACCAUGUUCUAUGCUUGCCAUUCUACAAGUCUGCAAGAUAGAAAGGUAUGGUUUGUGGAUAGUGCUUACAGCAACCACAUGACCUCUCAAGAAUCCGAACUAAUCAACAUCGAUAGAAUAGUAACCUGCACUAAAUCACCUCGUUUGAUCCCACAGCUUCACCCCUCGACUUGAUUUCGAAUAUGGUGAAGAUGAGUCAAGGGAUCCUCCUCUAGCAUUGGAUGCUUUGCGAUGUUGAUUUCGAUGGCUUACACAUGCUGUCUGCUCAUAAUUUCUUAUAUUCGUUUCAACAAUAAGAUUACGCCGAGUAAUCUCCAUCCCUCGAAAUCAUAGUAUUGCCCGAGUCAAAAAGCAUGAUUGAUUACCGAGCAAUACUAUCUCGACCACUGCAAAACACACUCUUGAAUUCCUGAAAAGCAGCAUGUCCUCGUGUAGGGCAUUACUACAUGCAUGAAAGUAUUAAGAAACCGGGAUCUUUGAGUAGAUCUUUCAAGUGGGAUAGGACCCACUUAAAAAAAUAGCAAGGCAAAAUUGAGGCCCAUGUGUAAGCAUACAAGGACAUCCAUUAAAGCCCAUGAGUAAAUCUUUCACUAAUUUUUAUUUAUCAAUUUUCCCAUAAAUUAUCUUGAUUUUCCAGUUCCCGUUAAAAUUAUUUAAUGAAAAACGUUAAGUACUUGUAAAAUGAUGCUAUUUUUUUAAUAGAAAAAAAGUGCAAUUUAGAAUAUAUUUUUUAAUAAAAACAUAAUUGAAAAGCCUUAAAGAUGAAUGCAAGUCGUUAACAAAACAAGUAGUUUUUAAAGUUUAAGAGUAAAAUCAGUAUGCAAAAUUAUGUAAUGACAAAAUUAAGACUAUUGAGAGUGUUUCUGAGACUUCGGCUUUUCUUCUUUGAAGCUUCGACGUAAGUGCUUUGGAGGGUGAGAGAAAUGGAGGAGAGAAGGGUUGACUAGCUGUAAACCAAUUAUUGACCCAGAGGGGUUCCUUUUUGAGGUCACCAAAUUUCCACGAAAGAGAUGAAAUCACCUAUAAGCCCAAGCUCAAAGGUUACAGAAUGUAAAAAAAGGCAAGCUAAUCGUUGUUCUCUUAUUGAGCAAAAAGCAAAGCAAACAUGGGCAGGAGGACAGCUUCUUGCUCUCUGUUUCUGUUUUUCACUCUUUUCACAACCUUGCAGAGUCCAAUUCUGGCUGCAAAAAAGGCAAGCUAGCAUGCAUUAAUGUUGUCUGAUCGUUUAGUCUUUCAAGUUACAUUUGCAAUCUCUCUUAUGUUAUAAUUCUGCUACUGACAGUGAUACCCGUGUCUGUGUACGUGCAGUCUUAUGUGGUUUACCUUGGGAGACAUUCUUAUGCUUCUGAACCUUCCACCACUGACCUGGAUAGGGUACCCGAUGCCCAUCAUGAACUUUUGGGUUCUUGUAUGAAGAGGUGAUGCAGUCCUGAAUAUUUCUGCUGUGUGAUCAGUGCUGUAUUUGGUUGUUCUAAUACUGAUGAUUAAGUUUGAACUCGUUAUUGUUGAAUAAACUCAAUCUAGAAGCACCUAGAUAGUCAAGGAAGGCAACCACCCACCAGCCGCAGCCGCCAGCCGCCAGCCGCCUUCACACCGCCGGUCAACAGCCGCCUUCACACCUGGAACAGUAGAUUUUCGUAUUCUGUUUUUUGUCUAUAAAUAGAGUGCCCAGCUUGUGUUUAUUUGAGUGGAGAGAAUAGAGAGAAACACUUGAAAGAGAAAGAGAGAAAGAGGGUGUGUUUAAGCUUUUGUUUUAAUUAAUUGUAAGCUUCGGAUUUUGUAAUAAAACCAGUGUGUUUUAUCCCCUCUGAGUGUUUCAAAGCCACCACCAGUGGUUCCUCCCACCAACAAUUGGUAUCAGAGCCCCGUUCGUCGGAAAACAGAAGAGUUUUGGGGUAUAUCCGAAUUUUCAAAGUUGUCAAAAACAAGUUUUGAUCAUUCCACAGUGUAGAGCUCAUCAAGACGAACUCACGCCGCAAAAAUCAGCCUCAUCGGAGUCCGGGUAGCCACACGCGCCGUCUGAAUAUUCACCAGAUCGCCCACGCGCAUCCCACGCGCCCGAGGUUGAAGACGACUGAGCCACACACGCGCCAUAUUGAGCCGUGUAAGCCGCCUAAGCCGAGUCCAGCCGAGCCACAAGCCGAGCCGUACCCGAGCCGAGCCGAGCCGAAGGAAUAUUCCCAGAAUAUUCCCGAAUAUUCCCCAGCAUAUUCCCAAGAAUAUUCCCCGAAUAUUCCACAGAAUAUUCCCGGUUCAACCCAGCGAACCGCCCGCCGUACAGAAUUGGUUUUUGACCGGUUCACCCAUUUUUGACCCGAUUUCAACAAAGUCAGACCGGUUCCCGACUAUUUGGACCAUUCCGGAUCGAUCUACAGUGUCCGUUUGGUCAAAUUCGGCUCCCAGAAGGCGAUAUAGUCAUUAAAAGAGCAAAAUGACUACAGAAGGUACACAUACACUCAUCCCGAAGCUGACCAAAGACAACUAUGAUAGUUGGUGCAUCAGAUUGAAGGCAUUUCUUGGGUCACAAGAGUGUUUGAUAUUGUACAAACUGGUUAUGAUGAACCAGAGUCCAAAGAAAGAGAAGAUGCUUUACAAGAGGCACAGAAGCAAGCCUAAAGUCAACAGAAAGAAGGACAACAAGCAAAGACCAUCAUCUAUCAAGGUCUUGAUGAAGAUACAUUCGAGAUAAUAGCUUCCGCUGAAACGUCACAUGAUAUAUGGGAGGCUCUCCAACAGAAAUACAAAGGUGCUGACAGAAUCAAGAAGAUUCGUCUUCAAUCUUUGAGAGGAGAAUUCGAAUUAUUACGAAUGAAGUCCUCAGAAUCUAUUUCUGAUUAUCAUACAAGGAUUAUGGUGAUAGUCAAUCAGAUGAGAGAAAUGGAGAAGCCUCAUGAUACUCGAAUUAUUGAGAAAAUUUUGAGAUCCAUAGAUCCAAAAUUUGAUCAUGUUGUUGUCGCAAUUGAAGAGUCCAAGGAAGUGGACAAGUUGACAGUGGAUGAGCUUAUGAGUUCUUUGCAAGCUCAUGAGCAGAAGAUUGUAAUGCGAAAUGAAGAUAAGGCCAUUGAGCAUGCCUUACAAGCAAAGCUGUCUUUCAAGGACAGAUAUGAGCAAGGGGAGACUUCAUCAAGUGGCUACACCACUCAAGGAGGAAGUCAACAAUCCAGAGGAGGAUUCAGAGAUUCCAAGGAAGAGGGAUCUUGGAAUACAAGCUUCAGAGGAAGAGGUGGCAGAAACACCACCAGAGGAGGCCGAGGACAACAAGCAUUCACUCCUAGAGGAAGAGGAGGCGGUUACAAUAACCGUGACAAGAGAAAUAUCAAAUGUUAUAGCUGCAAUCAAUUUGGGCACUAUAGCACUGAAUGCCGAUGGAAAGCUCCGUUGGAGACACGUGAGCAAGCCAACUAUGUAGAGAAGCAUGAUGGAGAAGCAUCUGCAUUUCUUGUCCAACAAGGACAUGGCGAGAAACAAGAGGAGAUAUGGUAUCUAGAUACUGGAGCCAGCAAUCACAUGUGCGGCUACCGAGAGUUAUUUGGUGAUCUAGAUGAGACCAAGCAAGGUCUAGUUACUUUUGGAGAUACCACAAAGGUUCCAUUCAAAGGUAAAGGCAACAUCCCAGUCAAGUUGAAGAAUGGCGAUUCCAGCUACAUCGCCGAUGUGUAUUAUGUCCCAGCCAUAAAGCAGAACCUGAUCAGCUUAGGCCAACUUUUGGAGAGAGGAUAUAGUUUUUACUCGAAGAAUUGUCAUCUGACAAUUAGAGACAACAAUGGGAGAUUAAUGGCCUACGUGAAAAUGUCCAAGAAUAGGAUGUUUCCUUUGAACAUCCAGUAUGAUGACAAGGUGUUUGAGUGCCAUCACCAACAGUGAAGAAUGGCUUUGGCACCUGAGGCUUGGACAUCUGAAUUUCACGAGUAUGAAGAUGCUAGCAAGCAAGAAGAUGGUCAAAGGUUUGCCUCACAUUGAUCAUCCAGAUGAAGUCUGUGAGAGUUGUGUCCUCAGCAAACAUCACAGAUCCAGUUUUGCCAAAGAAGUCAACUGGAGAGCAAAGAGGCCACUGGAGUUAGUACACACAGAUGUGUGUGGCCCAAUUACGCCUAUGUCGACUGGACAAAAUAGGUACUUCCUCACUUUUACUGAUGAUUUUAGUAGAAAGACGUGGAUAUACUUUCUGAAGAGGAAGUCAGAAGUAUUCAAUUGUUUUAAAGAUUUUAAAGCAAUUGUGGAGAAGCAAACUGGUUACACGAUCAGAACCGUAAGAUCUGAUCAAGGUGGAGAAUAUACAGCAAAUGACUUUGAAGCCUAUUGUACACAACAAGGCAUCAGACAUCAGACGACGCCAGCUUAUACACCACAGCUGAACGGUGUAGCAGAAAGGAAGAAUCGCACGAUUCUUGACAUGGCCAGAAGUUGCUCAAAGCAAAGAAGUUGCCCAAGCAAUACUGGGCUGAAGCUGUAUCAUGUGCAGUGUAUCUACUGAAUCGCUGCCCAACCAGAAGUUUGCAAGGAGUCACUCCAGAAGAAGCAUGGAGUGGUCACAAACCAAGUGUUACUCAUCUACGAGUCUUUGGUUGUGUGGCAUAUGCAAAGAUCCCAGAUGCAAGAAGGAGAAAGCUCGAUGAUAAGAGCGAGAAAUGCAUCUUUGUCGGAUAUGGUGAAAGAAGGAUGGGAUACAGGCUGUAUAAUCCCAUCACGAAGAAGGUGAUUACGAGUAGAGAUGUUAUCUUUGAAGAAGAUAAAUCUUGGGCAUGGAAUGAUCAAGAAGCAAUCAAAUGGAUCAAUCUGAUUUGAUCCUUGAAGGUGAAGAAGUACCAACAGUACUUGUCAGAACCGAUUGUGCCAGCCUGAACCACAAAGUCCUUGUGCCAGCAGCUGAACCACAAAGUCCGGCACACAGUUUCCCUGUAUUCAACAGGAGGAACACACCAGGAGCAUCAUCAUCAACACCACCAGCAUCCUCAUCAGAAGGACCAAGAAGGAUGCGGAAUCUUGAAGAGUUGUACGAUACCACUCAGGUUAUGGAAGAUACAACUCUAUUUUGUUUCUUUGCAGAUAGUGACCCACUAAGCUUCGAUGAAGCUAUCACAGAAGAGAAGUGGAUAGAAGCAAUGGAUGAAGAAGUACAUGCCAUUAAGAAGAAUGAUACCUGGAAGCUGACUUAUCUACCAGAAAACAAGAAAGCAAUAGGUGUCAAAUGGGUCUACAAGACGAAGAAGAAUGCCAAAGGAGAAGUGCAAAGAUACAAAGCCAGAUUAGUGGCUAAAGGCUACAAACAGAGAGAAGGCAUUGACUAUGGAGAAGUAUUUGCUCCAGUAGCCCGGCUAGAGACAAUCAGACUGAUGAUCUCACUAGCUGCACAACAUAGAUGGAAGAUCUAUCAACUCGAUGUGAAGUCAGCAUUUCUGAAUGGCUUCCUAGAAGAAGAAAUCUAUGUUGAACAACCACUUGGAUACAUUGAUGCUGAAAAUGAAGGCAAAGUAUACAAGUUGAAGAAGGCUCUCUAUGGUUUGAAGCAAGCUCCGCGUGCUUGGAAUACCAGAAUUGACAGGUAUUUUCAAGAUAAUGGAUUUGAAAAAUGUCCAUAUGAACACGCAAUGUAUGUGAAGAAAGGAGCAGAUGGCAGCAUCUUAUUUGCGUGCCUGUAUGUUGAUGAUUUGAUAUUCACCGGCAACAACCCUACCAUGUUUGACGACUUCAAACGAAGCAUGGUACAGGAGUUUGAAAUGACUGACAUUGGUCUAAUGUCACAUUUUCUUGGCUUAGAAGUAACGCAGAAGGAAGAAGGGAUUUUUGUAUCCCAAAGCGGUUACGCCAAAGAUAUUCUUGAAAGGUUCAAGAUGGAAAGCUGCAAUCCGGUAUCAACUCCAGUUGAGAAUGGAGUGGAAUUGAGGAAGAGUAAGGUUGGAAAUGUUGAUCCAACUUACUUCAAAAGCUUAGUAGGAAGCUUAAGGUACUUGACAUGUACCAGACCGGAUAUACUCUACGGAGUCGGACUCGUCAGCAGAUACAUGGAGACACCAGACCAGUCUCAUUUGAAUGCAGCCAAGAGAAUUCUUCGCUACAUCAAAGGCACAAUGAAUGAAGGUAUGUUUUAUACCUCAAGUAAAGACUUUAAUCUUGUAGGCUACUCGGAUAGUGAUUGGGGUAGAGAUCUGGAUGAAAGGAAAAGCACAACAGGGUUUGUCUUUUUCAUGGGAGACACAUCUUUCACAUGGUCAUCCAAGAAGCAAUCGAUUGUCACAUUAUCAAGCUGUGAAGCUGAGUAUGUUGCUGCCAACUCAGCCGUAUGCCAUUCAAUAUGGUUAAGGAAUAUGCUGAAGUUUUUGGGAUUUCCUCAAGAAAGUCCUACGGAGAUUUAUAUUGACAAUCGAUCAGCAAUCGCAUUAGCAAAGAAUCCAGUGUAUCAUGAGAGGAGCAAACACAUUGAUACACGUCAUCACUUUAUCCGGGAACAUGUGAAGAAUGAAGAAGUCCAACUGAUAUCUUGCAACACAAAUGAUCAAGUUGCUGACAUCUUCACAAAGCCAUUGAAAGGAGAAGUAUUCAUCCGAUUAAAGUUCAUGCUUGGCAUGACAUCCCUCGAUUGAGUUUAAAGGGGAGAUUUGUUGAAUAAACUCAAUCUAGAAGCACCUAGAUAGUCAAGGAAGGCAACCACCCACCAGCCGCAGCCGCCAGCCACCAGCCAGCCGCCAGCCGCCAGCCGCCUUCACACCGCCGGUCAACAGCCGCCUUCACACCUGGAACAGUAGAUUUUCGUAUUCUGUUUUUUGUCUAUAAAUAGAGUGCCCAGCUUGUGUUUAUUUGAGUGGAGAGAAUAGAGAGAAACACUUGAAAGAGAAAGAGAGAAAGAGGGUGUGUUUAAGCUUUUGUUUUAAUUAAUUGUAAGCUUCGGAUUUUGUAAUAAAACCAGUGUGUUUUAUCCCCUCUGAGUGUUUCAAAGCCACCACCAGUGGUUCCUCCCACCAACAGUUAUGACAGCAAGGAGAAGGCGAAACAAGCCAUCUUUUACUCCUACACUCGCUAUAUCAACGGUUUUGCAGCAGUACUUGAAGAAGAAGAAGCAGCUGAAAUUUCAAGUAUUUAUAAUACUAUUAAAAUUGUUCAGCUUGUAUAUCGUGCAAUCCUUGGUACUAUUACAAUUAUGGUCUUGUUAAUACGUUUUCAGAGCAUCCAGAAGUUGUAUCAGUUUCUCGAAACCAAAUAAGUCAAUUACACACAACAAAUUCAUGGGGCUUUCUUGGACUGGAAAGAAAUGGAGAAAUUCCAGCUGAUUCUAUGUGGCUAAAGGCAAGAUUUGGCGAAGACGUAAUUAUCGGGACCCUUGAUACUGGUAAUUAUAAUUUUACUUGUCUGUGUACAUGCAUAGAACUGGUCAAGUCUCCUUCAUAUCAUUUCAUCUUCUUAAUUUAAAUGUUUCUUGCAUUCAAUUAUUUUGGACCAGGUACAGCUACAUUGCAUCUUAAAGAAAAAUCUCCAAUGAUGGUAAAUUUUUGAUCUAUUUUUCUUGACUGUGCGUGACGCUAGGUGUUUGGCCGGAAUCCGAAAGCUUCAAUGAUGAAGGGAUGGGGCCUGUUCCAUCUAAAUGGAAAGGAUACUGCGAUCCAAAUGAUGGGAUUAAAUGCAACAGGUACUUUAAUUUCUUUCUCAAGGCCAGAGCUCUUUUCUUGACCUGAACUACUCAUUUUGCCUCUGAUAAUGAACCGCGGACAAAUUCUUCCGUUUCCUAUAGUAAGAUUAGUAACAUAAAAGACAUGUUGUUAUUAGCAGGAAACUUAUAGGAGCAAGGUACUUUAGCAAAGGCCACGAAGCUGCAGAAACACAUGAUUCUUCAAACCACACCGCGCGAGAUUAUGAUGGCCAUGGAACCCACACUCUAUCCACUGCUGGAGGUCGUUUUGUUUCGGGGGCAAACUUGCUUGGUUCAGCUUAUGGAACAGCUAAGGGAGGUUCGCCCAGCUCGCGAGUCGCUUCAUACAAGGUCUGCUGGCCCCGCUGUAGCGAUGCUGAUGUGUUGGCUGGCUAUGAAGCUGCUAUUCAUGAUGGGGUCGAUAUCCUCUCAGUGUCACUUGGAUCCGGUCCGAGAGAAUACAUUACUCAUGGGAAUGCAAUUGGAGCAUUUCUUGCUAUGGAGCGCGGGAUUCUUGUGGUUGCCUCGGCUGGAAAUGAAGGACCUGACCCUGGAGUCGUAGGGAAUGUAGCUCCCUGGAUUCUUACAGUUGCUUGUAGCACUAUCAGUAGGGAGUUCACAUCUAAUGUCAUCCUCGGAAAUAACAAACAAUACAAGGUUCGUUCUGUAAGCUCAUAUCUUUAGCAAGUCCUUGUAAAUUGUUCUACCUAUCAUGGGAUCCAAGAAUUUGCUAUAUUAAUUUCUAGAUAAUCAGGGUAUGAGUUUUAAUACCAACACUCAACCAGCUGGGAAGUUUUACCCCUUGAUCAAUUCGGUGGAUGCUAAAGCUGCCAAUGUUUCCAGUAAUCAAGCGUAAGCAGCAAACUAAUUUUGUUCUCAGCCAAAAUUACAUUUUCUGUAGUUGUUAGGUUCAUAUUUCUUAUCUUGUUGUCUUUGGCAGAAAAUAUUGCUCCAUCGGAUCCCUUGACCCCUUGAAAGUUAAAGGAAAAAUCGUAUAUUGUACUCGCAAAAGAUCCUGAUGUAGAAAAGAGUCUGGUUGUUUCUCAAGCUGGUGGUGUUGGGGUGAUACUUGCUAAUCAAUUGAUAAUUCAACAAAUCCGACCUCGGGCACACUUUGUUCCUACUUCCGUUGUCUCUGCAGACGAUGGACUUUCCAUUUUAACUUAUGUCUAUAGUACAAAGUAAGGUCUAUGUAAUAGAUAAUUCAGACAAUUAAACUUUGUUGAUUUCAGUCGAUAAUGCCCUGAACAAUCUAUCGUUUGUGAUCCUGUGAAUCUCUUGGAACUUCUCUUUUCACUCAGGUCACCUGUAGCUUACAUAAGUGGCGCCACGAAGGUGGGAACAGUGGCUGCACCUGUCAUGGCUGAUUUUUCAUCUCCUGGGCCUAACUUCAUCACCCCAGAGAUCCUUAAGGUACGUACUCUUAAUAGCUUCACAUGAGCGUUUUAAAAUACAUGAUCAAUAUUAUUUUUAUAGUGAGAGUGCAUAUGUGAUGAUUUCAGCCCGACAUCACUGCACCUGGAGUCAAUAUUCUAGCUGCCUUCACCGGAGCAUCAGGGCCAACUGCUGUGCCAGGAGACCGGCGCCGAGUACAUUUCAACUUUUUAUCUGGAACCUCAAUGGCAUGCCCCCAUGUUUCCGGAAUCGCUGGUCUUCUCAAAACUAUUCACCCUGAUUGGAGUCCUGCUGCAAUUAAAUCUGCAAUCAUGACAACAGGUUAGUGCUUUUCUGCUCUUCGCAUUAGCAUCUCCAAGUGCUUCUCUUCUGAUAGCUUGAGUGGUUGCUUAUGACAUUUCAGCGACAACGAUCAGUAAUGUGAAGCAGCCUAUCGCGAAUGCUUCUCUUCUUGAGGCAACCCCAUUGAAUUAUGGUGCCGGGCACAUAUGGCCUAGCCGUGCAAUGGACCCAGGCCUGGUCUAUGACCUAACGACUAAAGAUUACGUGAAUUUUCUAUGCUCCAUUGGCUAUAACUCAACCCAGUUGUCACUUUUUAUUGGUAAGCCAUACAUAUGCCCGUCGCAGAACAAUGGUCUGCUGGAUUUCAACUAUCCAUCCAUUACUGUCCCGAAUCUCUCAAGCAAUAAGACCACGUUGUCCCGAACCUUGAAGAACGUGGGGACUCCAAGCUUGUAUAGAGUUAAUAUCAGGGCACCUGGAGGCAUAUCUGUGAAGGUUGAGCCAAGAAGCUUGAAGUUCGAUAAGAUAAACGAAGAGAAAAUGUUCAAGGUCACUCUAGAGGCCAAGAAAGGGUUUAAGAGUAAUGACUAUGUGUUUGGAGAGAUAACCUGGUCUGAUGGGAAACACCAUGUGAGGAGUCCUGUUGUGGUGAAGAAGAUGGAAGUAGCAGCCUAAGGUUGAAGGACACUGACCAGGCGUCUGGAUUUGUAGGUGGAAGGCCAGCGUGUAGAGAUCUAUAUAUCUCCAUGGUCACCAAAUCGAUCUUCAAAUUCCCGUUCCAUGUCAUGACAAGUAUCGAAUGUCACCAAAUCGUGUCAUUUUUUUUAUGCCACUAAUCUAGUGAUUGAACUAAGAAAAUAAAAAUAAAAAUAAAUGGUUUUGUUUUAGAAUAUUUUGGAAUGGUUUUUGGUUUUUAUCUACUUUCUAUUGAUUUUGUUUAGUUGCUUUAGUAUUUUUGUUUUUCUAUUUAUAUGUUAUUUAUGGCUCUGUUUUUUACCUUUUGUUGUGUGACAACUGAUUAGGUUACUGUGCAUUAAGUUUUUUGAGAGUGCAGGUAAUGCUGUGAAGCCUAGCUUACCAUCUUUCAUUUAUUAACAAAAUCUUAUGAUAAAGACAUUCAAUUGUCAUAUCCCUCAAUUGGAGAACAAAAGGAUAUCCAUACAUUUUGUAGGUGUCAAAAAAUAUGAAAGAUCUAUUUAUGUUAUUUAUUUACCUUAGUUUUUUUUUAGGCUUAAUAAUUCUAUCUAGAAAAAUUAUUUCUAGUAUCUAAUUAAUAACAUAUUGCACUGCGAUUAAGCUAACAAUGAAUGAAUUCCCACAAAGAUUUAUCUACUUAUCGUGGCUUUUUUUUUUCUUCUCUUUAGGCUUCAUAAUUGUACCCAAGAAAAUCACAUAUUGCAUUACAAUUAAGUUAAUGAUGAAUGAAUUCCUACAAAGACCUUUUACCGAAGAAUGUGACCAUCUUAAGAGGUAGUAUAACAUCAUAAUUUUCUAAAAUAUCUUAGGUGUUGUUUUUGAACAAGUAUAUCCAAUUCAAACAUAAUAGUAAUAUAUAUUAUUUGGAAAAUUCUACGUUCAAUUUGUUCUUUGUCACUUAACUUUUUUUAUUCUUAAUUUAAUCAUUUCACAUUAAAUUAAUUUAGGAUUGAGUUUAAUGUUUUAUUUCAGUUGGGCUCUAGCGAUAUUAAUAAUAAGUUUUGAUGUUAAGUUGAUGAUUAAUUUGGUAAAAUAAAAUUUAAAUUUAUUGAUUCAAAUCAAUUAAAAUGUCAACGACUUAAUUUUAAACUGUAAAUACUCAGUCUUUUUUUCUUUAAAAAAUAAUAUUUUUAUUUCAACUUUCUAACUCAAUUUUUAAUUGAAACUAACAUAUAUAACGCAUGAAUACAUCAAACUACAGCAACAAAAGAGCAGUCUUUUGUUGUAGAGUAUGAACAUAAAAUUAAACAGUCUUCUCUAAUUUAGAGCAUAAAAUAAAAUCGAUGUGCUAAUAGCUAACCAUAAACAGACAUAUUGAGGAAUUAAACUGCUGGCAUGGUCAUACCCUCCUGUUGAUAUAAUUGGGUCAAAUGGAAUAUUUAUUUUAAGCAAAAGCAAGAAAAAAGUAGUCUAAAAUAUGAUAAAGUAGUAGUAGUUGUGUUAAGCAAAAAGGAAGAAAUGUUGUCUUAUCAUCCCACGUUUUUGCCUGCAUGGACCGACGGAUCGCCUGCGAGAAGAAUGCUUUUUUUUUUUUUAAAGCAUUCUUCUCAUAGGCGAUCCGUCGAUCUAUGCUUGAACAUGUAAGAAAAGUAAACCUAAUGUAUUCUCGGAUCUUUUAUUAUUAUUAUUAUAAAGAAUAAGUUUGAACUCCAUCUUUUUCUAAAAGAAAGGAGAUACGAAUACUAUUACAAAGAAAAAAAAUGAUUGGGAUUUUGAAAUUACUGUAUACCUAGACAUAAUGUAUUGUAAACGGAACAAUAUAAUUAUGUUUUUGCCUUUAUAUAUAGAAAAAAAAAAAACAUUAGACUAGCUAUUGGGAGUAAUACUGAAUUUUUUCAUGGACCAUGUGUUCAUUAUUAUAUUUAUUAGGGACAAUGCAGUCUGUUUACAUUUUUAUAGAACAAUGUAAUGACUAGAAUAACCUUAAAAUCAAAAUAAUUUUAUCUGAAUUUAGAGAUUGACUUGUUUUUUCAUUUUUAUAUGUAUAAUGAGUCUACAUACUUAACCUUGGAUGCAAAUUUUAUUAAACUUGGGAUCGAGGGCUUCUUUGUAUUUUCAUCAUUAUUUUUUAGUUAUAAUAUGGUCAAGUUUGGGGUAACUUGGUAUUUUAGUAAGUGUAAGAAAUAUUUUUUUUAAAAAAAAUGAUUGACGUGUACAACACACACAUUAACGUGUUAGGCGGCAUAUGCGGAUUUAUAUGGUGUUAGAAAAUGGCCAUCCGUGACGGUUAACAAUCCUCUUGGCAUCCCUUUUCUGAUGAAGUGGCGGCGUGUGCAGCGGUGUGGCUCCUACCACUUUUUUUUUUCUUCUCACUUCUCCUUGAAAAACAAGUUACCCAAUCAAAAAUCUAUAUUUUCCUUUUAAUUUUUUUUUUUAAGUUUAUGAUUUAGUUUCCUUUUGAUUAUCUUAUUUUCAUUUUGAUUUUUUUUGAAAACUUUAAAUUUUUUAUUUAUUUUGCCUUUAAUUUAAAUGUUAUUUUUAUUUCAUGUUUGAUUCUCUUUCUUUUGAUUUCUUAUUUAUGUAUUGAUUUUAUUUUUUUUGUAAAAUGUAAGAUUUUUUUCAAAUUCAGCCUAAAAUCAAACAAUGUUAUUUUUAUGCUUUGUCUGUUUUUGUUUAACAUUUGAUCUUUAUUAUUUUAUAUUGCUAUUUUAUUUUAUGGAACCUUUUGUCAAAUUAUUUUUUUUUCUUUCAAUUUCAUCCCUCAAUCUUGGGUUGGUUAGUUAGAAAUUGAGGGUCAUGGUUUUUUUCAAUUGAGUUACACCAGUUUCAUGACUCUGGUAAAAAAUUUAAAAGUUUGGGUCAACUUGGGUGGUGUCGACUUUUUUCCCCCUCUUUUUACACUAAUUUCCUUUUAGUUUUACUCCUUUAAUACUUUAGAUUUGUGAAGUUAUUCGUGUUUUCUUCAAACUCAUUUUUAAAAUCUAACUAGAUUUAUUUCACUCCAUUAUCAUGGUCUCUUGACCUUGAUAGUAAGUUUUUCUAUUUACCUAGGGAUCGCUCUACGUUUUUCUUUUGGAGUUAUCUUUUUAAAAUUGAUUAUUUUUUUCUAGUUUAGUUGUUCAUUAUUUUUCUUUGCAUUUAGGCUCCGUUUGUUUGCAGGAAAGUGAAUUCCUUUUUGAAUUGGAAAGUGAAUUCCGGGAAAGUAUUUUCCGAUGUUUGGUAGUGUUAUGGAAAAUGAACUGGAAAACACUUUCCAGUGUUUGGUUAUGUCAUGGAAAAUGAGCUGGAAAAUAACUUAUUAUAUUUUAUUUUUUUCAAGUUUAUUAAAUAAUGAGGAACAAAUUUACAAUUAAAAAGUUGAAUGAUAAUGAAAUUGAAAAAAAAUAUAAUUUCAUAAAUUAUCUCAAAUAAAACAAAUAAUAAUCAAAUAAUAGGGUCAAAUCUAAAAUUAAAAAAAAAAUGAAAAAUGAAGAAUUAAAUAAUAAUAAUCAACAUUUCAUAAAUUAUUUCAAAUAAAAUAAGUAACAAUCAAAAGAAUGAGGAUCAAAUUUGAUAAAUAAAAAAUUUCAAUAAAAAAUGAUAAGAAAAAAGCAAAUAGCAAUUAUAAAAAUAAGGACAAAGUUAAUAUAAAAUAAAAUUUUAAGAGAUGAAAUUGAAAAAUAAAUAUUCAAAACAAAAUAUAUAUAGUAAUCAAAAGUUUGAGGAUCAAAUUUGAUAUAAUCAGCAAAUAAUGGCAUUUCUAAAUUUUUCACAACUUCCGGAAAGUGUUUUCCCCUCAAAUUUUUCAGGAAAACACUUUCCUGAAAACCAAGCCAAAUUUUCCUUUUACUGGAAAGUGUUUUCCAUUGACCAACUUUCCUACUGGCAAAUAAACACAAGAAAGUUUGGAAAGUGCUUUCCCGGAAACCACUUUCCGGAAAACAAACACAGAUAAAAGGAAAACACUUUCCUGAAAACCAAGUCAAUUUUUUUUUUGACUAAAAUUGACUGGAAAGUGUUUUCCGUUGACUAGAAAGUGUUUUCCGCUGACCGGAAAUUGUUUUCCGUUGACCAACUUUUCUAAUGACAAACAAACACAAGAAAGUUUGGAAAAUGGUUUCCCGGAAACUACUUUCCGAGAAACAAACAAGUCCUUAGCUUCAUAAAUUUGGGAAAAUGAUGAUUUUUUAAAAUAAAAAAAAUACUUUUAUACAUAUAUAUGCAUUUAUAUUAUUUCUUAAAAAAGUGUUAAAAUUAGAACGACAAUUUAUAAUACUUCAAACAUGUUAUUGUUUCAUAGCUCAUCGAACUAGAUAUAUGUUAUAAUAUCUUAAUUACCAGCAUAGAUCAAUCUUAAUUAUAAUCCACCAUAAGUACAAUAACAUGAACAGGCCAUGAAUUAUGACACGGUGGUCUGCAACUGUAUCCUUCUGCUCUUUUGCUCUUCUUUUUCUCGACAAGUAAUUGUUGAGUGGGUCUUUGUAGCCCAGAAACCAACACUUUCUUUUGGGUGUGUGUAUAUAUAUAUUUUAUACUAUACCGCAAGUCUUGGAGACAAUCUUCCACUUUAUUAGCCAUAUAUUUGUGGGUUCCAUAUAAAUUCAACAAGAUCAAUGGCAAUUAGGAUUAUGUUUUGUUAAUAGAUUAAAUAGAUAAUUUGAUUCACGUCAUUUGUCUCUCAAUAUUAGAAUUAAUUACUCGGUUGAUUCUGAAAUUUAAUGAUAACUUUACGGAGUUAAUCUAAUGGUUAAGAAAUCAUGCUUUUAUCUUUAUUUUUUCAGCUAAACAUUUGGAAUUAACAUUCUAAAAAAUCCAUUAAAUUUCUUUAAAUAUAUCGAAUCGAUGUAUUUUUUUUUAAAGAAAAACUUAGUUUUAAUACUGGACACGCUAAAAAAAUAGGGUUUAAAUACUAUGGUGCACAACUUUGAUAAAUGUCGUUAUGAAAAAGCUUAUGCUGUCCACCUUUUCGACAAGCAUGAUACUCCUUUAAUCUUCUUUUCUAAGUAAAACAGGACACCACAGUUCCAUUUAUUUUUCCUUUUUGCUCCAAAAGACAGCUUACAAAGCCCUCCUCUCAUCAAAAGAGGAAGUAAAGUAAGAAGAAAAGGGAGAAAACAACAAUAAUCCCGAUGAUAAAGGGCCUAGCUAGCUACAGUACUGUUCCGUUUUAGGUUCCAGUCUUCUAUCAGUUGUGAGAAAAAGAAAAUGAUUUGGUUAAUGUAUUGCGUACAGCAGAAAAGAGAGGAGAAAACAUCAACAAUAAAAAAAAAAAAAGCAAAACAUUCAAGAACAGUAAUGCGGUGUUAUCAUUGCACUAACUCGUAAUGUAAAUUAUAAUUAGACAGUGAAUCCAGGAUUAAAGAGAACAUGCGUUGGAUCUAUGACGAGGAAAGAACAGAAAAUACCAAUGAAGGCCUUCGUCUAAAUAAAAUGGACAAUACACUGCAUGAAUCCACGGUGUUUUCACUCACAAAGCACAAUAAAUAACUUAGCUGAUUUAUUUAUUUAUUUAUUUUUAUUUUUUUUUUGUAACUGGGUGAUGUUUACGGUAAAAUAAACUGGAUUUCUUGUUUUUCCUUUGUUUUCACCUCUUUGCUGAGGGGAUGGAACUGUUGAAAGCUAAGCUAAUUACUUGUGAUUAAAGUCUUAGAAGAAGAUUACGUAGACCGAAGGAAGAAGGAUGAAAAAAUUGAAGAAAUUCUGUUAAAACAGUUAAAGAGUUAGUUAUAAUCGUUAUGGCAGUUAUAUCAGUUUUUACUGUUACAAAAACUGUUACAAAUCAUUCUUACAUGUGUAAGAAUCGUGACCCUCCAUUAAUGGAUGGAUGAGAUGAUCUUGAUUCCUAAAAUACCGGAAUCAGUUACAUACAAUGUAUAUAAAUGUAGAGUUUGCUGCAUUGAAAAAUAUAUAAAAAAUACACAAGAAUUUCUUCAUAAUCUUCUCUGCACAUUUAAACAUAUUCUUCUUUUUAAAACCUUCAAAAAAUAAACAUGGUAUCAGAGCUUACAAACUGAUUCCAAAGGGGCGUAAACUGUGACAAACAGAUUGAUUAAACUAUUACUUACUCAAAAAAUGGUAGGAUCAAGCUCUGUUGGAGGAGAUUUAAGAACUUCAUAGUUCAAUGGCACAAAUUAUGAUUUUUGGGCUGUAAAAAUGGAGACUAUCCUCAUAGCAUUCGAUCUAUGGGAAGUAAUAGAAGUUGGAAUCAAUUCUCAUCCAUCAUCUAAGGUUGCAACUGGAUCAUGCGAUGAAGAGAGUGAAGUUGAGCAAACUACAUUGCAUGCAUCCACGACAUCCAGAGAAGAAAAAAUCAAGAAUGCAAAGGCAUUAAGCCUUAUACAAGGAGCAUUAACAGAUGACCUCUUCCCACGAAUAAGAAAUGAAAAGACUGCAAAAGGAGCUUGGGACAUUUUGAGUAGAGAAUUCAGAGGAGAUAAAAAGGUUAGAGCUAUAAAACUUCAAGCAGUGAGAGCUGACUUUGAAUACCUGAGAAUGGCAGAAAGUGAGAGCUUAGAUGGAUAUCUAGCUAAAUUCUUUGCAACUGUGAAUAACCUGAAAUCAUUAGGAGAAGAUGUAUCAGAAAAUAGAAUUGUGCAGAAAUUGCUAAUGAGUCUAAGCAGAAGGUAUAAGUCCAUUAUGUCAAUCAUUGAGGAGACACGAGAUCUUGAUGUUCUGAGAGCAAAAGAAGUCAUUGCUUUUGUGAAAGUUUAUGAUAAGAGGGAAGAUCUACAUGAUGAAAGGGAUAAGCUAACAGGAAUAGAGAAAGCCUUUAGCAGUUUAAAGAUUGAAAACAAUCAAGCCUACAGCUCACACAAGUGUUUCCAAGGCAGACAUCCUCAAAGAUGGCAAUCACAAGACAGGAGAGGACCAAAUCCAUUUCCAAACAGAAAUGGAACCAACUAUAAUAAUGCAAGCUAAAACAACACUGCUUGGGGAAGUAGUCAAGCGAGUGUAAAGCCACAAUGCCAAGUCUGCCAGAAGCAACAUUUUGGUUUAUGUAGACACAAAGGAAAACCAAGAUGUGGAAGAUGCAACCGGUUUGGCCAUAUUGCAAAAGAUUGCGAGAGUCGCAGUCACAAACAACUAGCAAAUUAUGCCAAAGAAGAGAGAGUUACCACAGGAACUGUCGCACGUGUGCGACGUUGCGGCGAUCACCCACCACCCCAUGUAUGAAGGUGUGGUAUGUAUCUAUCUAUUGUGAAAAAUAUGGUGAGACAAGGAAUUCUUUGUCUCUUAGCGGUGAAAAAUGGACCGGAAGUCGCCACCUAGUAUUCUAGUUGUUAGGAACCCUAACUGGUCUUUAGAGAUUAGGUACGGAGACUAGUUGCGUAAAGGGAAGGUGUUAACACCCCAACUACUCCCUACCUACGGUAGGUUGCAUUGUUUUGUCUAAUAAAAUCUAAGUCAUGUUGUGGUUUCUUAUUGUUCAGAAUAUGCAUUACGUGUAAUGUCAUACCCCAGGUUCUAUUGUCCGAAAAAAAGAAUUAAAUAUCCGGAAUACACAAUACGUGUAAUAUCAUGCCCCGGAUACUAAGAGAUAAACAAAAUAAAAUUUUUGUUUGUUUUUGAAAUUUUGGCCAAUGUUCUCUUGACUUUAAUAAACUGGUUAUUAAAGCCAAAAUACAUGCAAACAUUGAUUUUUGGUGUAUAUAAAAAACACAAUAUGAUUUUUUAGCUUGGAGACACUUGGCCGUAUGCACAAAAACAUUUUUUUUCUUUUUUUUAAUUUUUUUUUGUAUUUUUGGAAAUUUUGAUGAAAACCGGGUAUUUUAAUAUCGGAUUUUGUAUUUUUAGCAACAUAAAAACACUGCUUGAUGUUAAUCAAAAUGACAUAAAAAAUACACGGAAACUUGUAAAAUUACAAACAAAUAUUUUUUUGAAUUUUUUUUAACAAAAAAAAGGGGCCAAAUUUGGCCCAACCAUCCUGGGCUGGGCCUGACCCGGCCCAUAUAUUGUGGGCUGGACUCAACCUAGCCGUAUGGGCUGGGCUGAUGUUCCAGCCUGUAACCAAUGAAAGGGGUUGGUUACUGUACGCAGCACAGUAACCAGUAAAAAAUAUAAUUAGCUAGUUAUUGUGCUAAAUCUUCAUUUGCUGCAGAACGUAAACGUUUUGCAUGCAAAUGAAGCUGAAGCGAAAAACAGACAGGGGAGGGGAGAAAAUUACCUGGAGCGAUGGCGACGCUGGCGACGCUGGCGACAACGGAUGUGGCAGGGGUGGUGGUGUAGGCGGCGACUAUUCUCUUUCCUUGUCUCCUGUUUCCUCUGUUUCUCUUCUCAGCCACCCUCUCCUCUACCUUUUUUUCAUUGUCUGCUCUUCUUCUCCUCUUUCCCUUUGUGGCUGUCAGUGGCGGUUGGAGAUGGCAGUGUCAGCGGUGGUCAAGUGGUGUGCUAUGGCGGUGGAGAGGAAGCAUGAUGGCAGCUGCGGUUGUUCUUCUCCGGUAUAAAUAUAUUCUUGUCACUUCCCUUUCUCUUCUCUGCCUCCUUUGCCGGUUUCCCUUUCCCUCCUCUGCCUUCCCCAAAUAUUCCCCUCCCUUUUUCUGUAAUACUUCCCUCAGGUGGUUCCAGCUUUCCCUUCUCUCCCAGUCUUUCUCUUUUUCGGUCUCUUUAAUAAACUCUCAGUUCUUUCUCUUGGUUUCCCUUAAAAAUCAUUCCCAGCUUCCUCCCUUUUUCUCCUCUCUUUUCUCCCUUCUUUCGGCACUCCCUCCUCUGGUAUUUAUAGGCAGAGGAGGGGAGGGCCACCUUACCCUUGUCAUGGUGCAGGGUAAGGUGAGCCGGGGAGUUGUUCGCAGGGUAUGGUGCUUUUAGUGCGAGGGCUUGGUGGUGUUAGUGAAGGGACAAGUCGGGUCGUCGUUGGGUUUUCGGGUUUUGGGACAGAGAGAGAGGGGGGAAUAGAAAACAGGGGAAAAAUGCUUCUUCUUCCCUUGCUCUUUGCGUGUGCAGGGGAAGAAGAAAGCUUAUGGUGCCGUUCACAACGACACUGUUUGCCCUUUUUUUUUUUUGAAAAUGCAUGAAACGGCGCCGUUUUGACCAAAACGCGUUGUUUCAUUUAAAUGAAAACAGGCGCCAGAAUGCAUUCAAUUUCAGAUCAGCCCCUCAAUUUGCGCGCUUUUUCAUUGUAGUCCUUGGUUUUGGAUUUCUUCGAUUAAGUCCUUAAUUGGCCACCAGACUUCAAUAUGCAUGCAAUUAAGCCCCUGAUUUGACCCAAUCAACUCUAAAAAAUAUAAUUUGACGUCAGAACUUCAAUUUCUUCCAAUUAAAACCCCAAAUUGACUUUAAAAUCAAAUUUUCUUGCAAUCAAACCCUCCAAUAAUUCAAUUAAACUUUCAAUAAAAUUUAAUUGAGUCCAUAAACAUCUGAUUUUGUACUUUUCUUCCUCUAAUAAAAUUUCCUUAAUAAAAAAGGCUCUCACUGGUCAAUGAUAUACUGUCAAAUUUCAAUUCAUUGAUAUAUUUUUGAUAUAUUUUAUUAUUAUUAUUAUUAAUUAAUUUUUUUAAAAUAAUUUUUUUUCUUGUUUCUUAUACGGGGACCAAAAAAAGGGUUGCAACAGGAACCAUGUUCUAUGCUUGCCAUUCUACAAGUCUGCAAGACAAAAAGGUAUGGUUUGUGGAUAAUGCUUACAACAACCACAUGACCUCUCAAGAAUCCGAACUAAUCAACAUCGAUAGAAUAGUAACCUGCAAAGUAAAGAUGGGCUCAGGAGACCUUGUGCAAGCAACUGGCAAAGGCACAUUGGUUGUAGAAACUCAACAUGGGAAAAGAUACAUAAAAGAGGUACUACUUGUUCCUGGAUUGGAUGAAAACCUAUUGAGUGUAGGGCAUGUGAUGGAGCAUGGUUAUUACAUUCUGUUUGGAGAUAACAAAGCAGUAAUAUUUGAAGAUGAAAGCCUCAACAAUGUUAUAGCAAUAGUGAUCAUGAGAGGAAAUCGAUGCUUCCCACUUUCACUUGAAUCCAUCACACCUGCAGCAAGGAAAGCUUCAGUGACUGAGGAUUCCUGGAUAUGGCAUAGAAGACUGGGACACUUGAAUUUUGCCAGCAUGAAGAAGAUGCAGCAGAAGGAGAUGGUAUGCGGGCUUCCUGUUCUGACAGAAGUAGAAGAUGUUUGUGCAGGCUGUGCAUCAGGCAAACAUCACAGGGAGAAAUUCGACAAAGAGCAAGCGUGGAGAGCAAGUGAUCCACUGGAAUUAAUCCACACUAAUUUGUGUGGACCAAUGCAGAAUGAAUCCAUAGGAGGAAAUAGAUACUUUAUCACAUUCAUUGACGAUUACUCAAGAAUGUGUUGGGUAUAUUUCCUCAGAAACAAAUCUGAUGCACUCAAUGUGUUCAAGAAAUUUAAGGCAUUUAUUGAGUUGCAAAGUGGAUAUAAAUUAAAGAAGCUGAUAAGUGACAGAGGUAAUGAAUAUACUUCAAAAGAGUUUAAAGAAUUCUGUGUAAAACAAGGAACGGAGAGGCAACUGACAGUUUGAUACUCUCCUUAAUAGAAUGGAGUUGCAGAGAGGAGAAAUAGAACAAUUUGUGAAAUGGCAAGAUCCAUGCUAAUAGAGAAAGAAAUGUCAAUAAUCUUCUGGGCAGAAGCUGUGAAUACAACUGUGUAUAUUCAGAAAAGAUGUUACACAACAUCUGUUACUGAAAAGACUCCUUUUGAAGCCUUUACGGGAAGGAAGCCAGGAAUCAAGCAUCUAAAGGUGUUCGGUUGCUUGUGCUACACACAUAUCCCAUCAUCACUAAGGCAGAAAUGGGAUAGCAAAGCUGGAAAGAGAGUGUUUGUUGGGUAUGGUAGCUGUGAGAAAGGGUAUAGAAUAUAUGACCUGAAAACUGAGAAGAUUGUUCUUUCAAGAAGUGUGAUUUUCAGUGAAGAUAGAGCAUGGAAUUGGGAAAGAAAUUUGAUGAACCAAAGCCACUUGUCUUUCAAUCAUGAAGGGGGUGAAGUUGAAGGUGAAAAUUCUGAGGAACACUCUGCUGCAGUCCAACCCGAUAAUGUUGAACAUUGCAAUCAAAAUUCUACAGUUGGAGAGUUAGUUGAGAAGAUUGACAGUGAUAACAGUCAACAAUCUUCACCGAGCUCUACUCUAGUAAAAUUAAAAACCUUGGAAGACAUACAUGCAAGGUGUCACAUGUGCAUCAUAGAACCUGAGAACUAUCAAGAAGCUUUUGGAAAUAAAGCCUGGCAGAAAGCUAUGAAGGAAGAAUUGGAAGUGAUAGAGCAGAACAAUACUUGGGAAUUGGUGGAGAGACCAAGUGAUAAAACUGUGAUAGGAGUGAAAUGGGUGUACAAAACUAAGCUUCAUCUUGAUGGAACAGUUCAAAAACAUAAGGCUCGCCUUGUAGCAAAAGGAUAUGCACAAAAAUCCAGAAUUGACUAAAAUGAAACAUUUGCACCAGUAGCAAGGUUAGACAUAAUCCGGACUCUCAUUGCACUUACAACACAAAAGGGGUGGAAAUUGUUUCAAUUGGAUGUUAAAUCAGCAUUCCUAAAUGGUGUUCUUAAAGAAGAAGUAUAUGUUGAGCAGCCUGAAGGGUUUGAAGUAAAGAAUGCAAGACACAAAGUUUACAAACUAAAGAAGGCCUUGUAUGGAUUAAAGCAGGUACCGAGGGCCUCGUAUAGUGAAAUUGAUGCAUACCUCUCUAUGUGCAAAUUCAAAAGGAGCACAAGUGAAGCUACUUUGUAUACAAGAUCAGACAUGGAAGGUAAUUUGAUCAUUGUCUCAAUCUAUGUUGAUGACAUUGUGUACACUGGCAGCAAUGAGAGGAUGCUCAGUGAAUUUAAAAAGGAAAUGAUGCAAAGGUAUGAGAUGUCUGAUCUUGGAAUCCUUUAUCAUUUUAUUGGCAUGAGAAUACUACAAACCAAUCAAGGGGUGUUUAUUCAUCAAGGGAAAUAUGCCAAAUCCCUGCUUAGUAAGUUUGGACUUGAUGAUUGCAAACCAGUCUCCAUUCCCUUGGCCACUGGUGAGAAGCUGAAGAAGGUGGAUGGGAGUGAGUUGGCUGAUGAAGAACUUUAUAGAAAAAUAACAGGAAGUUUACUAUAUUUGACAGCUACAAGACCUGAUCUAAUGUAUGUUGCAAGUUUAUUAUCACGGUUCAUGGCUGGACUUACCAAGAUUCACAUGGGAGCUGCAAAAAGAGUUCUAAGAUAUGUGCAAGGAACUCUCAGCUAUGUGAUUGAAUAUGUAAGGGAUCAAUCAGCAACUCUCAUUGGAUUUUAUGAUGCAGAUUGGGCAAGAAGUAAAGAUGAUAGCAAGAGCACUUCGGGCUAUGCAUUUAGCUUUGGAAGUGGAGCAUUCUCCUGGUCUUAUAUGAAACAAAACACAAUAGCAUUAUCAACUUUAGAAGCUGAGUAUGUCUCAGCAUCUGAAGCAACUACUCAGGCCAUUUGGUUACGGUUUGUUCUUGAUGAUUUUGGUAAAAUGCAAGCUAAGGCAACACCCUUGUUCUGUGAUAAUAUGUCAACAAUUUCAAUGGCCAAAAAUCUAGUUUUUCAUCAAAGAACAAGACACAUAAACAUGAAGUAUCAUUUCAUAAGGGAGGCUUUGCAAGAAGGAGUAAUUAAUGUGAAGUUCUGCAGAAGUGAAGAACAACUUGCAGACAUCUUCACAAAAGCACUACCCAGAGACAGAUUCAAGAAACUAAGACUAAAUCUUGGAGUUAAAUCAGUAAACAGCUUAGGAGAUGUUGCUGAAAGCUAAGCUGAUUACUUGUGAUUGAAGUCUUAGAAGAAGACUACGUAGACUGAAGGAAGAAGGAUGAAGAAAUUGAAAAAAUUCUGUUAAAACAGUUAAAGAGUCAGUUAAAAUUGUUAUGACAGUUAUAUCAGUUUUUACUGUUACAAAAACUGUUACAAAUCAUUCUUACAUGUGUAAGAAUCGUGACCCUCCAUUAGUGGAUAGAUGAGAUGAUCUUGAUUCCUAAAAUACCGGAAUCAGUUACAUAUAAUAUAUAUAUAAAAGCAGAGUUUGCUGCAUUGAAAAAUAUAUAGAAAAUACACAAGAAUUUCUUCAUCUUCUCUGCACAUUUAAGCAUAUUCUUCUUCUCAAAACCUUUAAAAAAAUAAACAGGAACUGUGGUGCUGCUCAAGUCAUUGUCAAACAAGUGAGACAAGCAUUAAAGAACUCUAAAACGCGUGGGAAAAUCACUGUAGCAGCUGUGAUUUUUUUUUUUUUUUUUUAUAGAAGGUAGUUUUUUUUUUUUUACAUGUUUUUUUUUUUUUUUUUCCUGUAGCAGUUUUUUAACUAUAGCUUAUUAUUAUUUUUUUUUUUUUGCUUUUGUUUCUUCUUUUUUUUGUUACAUGUUUUUUUUUUUUUUACCUAAAAUUGACUUCUUUGUCUUUGUUUUUUUUCUUUUUUUUAAUUUUUUUUUCAAAAUUAUCUUUACUAAUUUUUUUAAAUAUUAAGCUGGUUAAAAAUUUAACUAUAUAGUUUUUUUCUUUAAAACAUUGUGGAUUGCUAUAAUAUUCUCAUACAUUGGUUUUUUUUCUUUUUAUGAUUUCUUUAGAAGAGCUCGAGACAUAUAUGAAAUAUCAACAUCUAAUCUCUGGUAUUGGAUAAAGCUUUCAGUAUGUGGAGAACAAUCAAACGAGAAUUGACAGGGAAUUGAGUGAUCAUGUUAAAGUUACGGAGCAUGCGAAGAAGAGGCCCACUGAGGCCAGAAAGCGCAGCUGGAGAUAAAAAUGGUCAGGAAAGUAAAGGAGGGAAGAAAAAGCUCUCUCUGGUUCUUCCUCGAACAGUAAGUAGUCUUCUUUUUUUUUUUUACCAAAAUUCCUCUCCUCUGGACUGAUCAUCCACCUCUCAUCGGUUCCAUGCUGUUUUUUUUUUUUUUUUUUUCAUAAUUAUAUGUCCACUGUACUAAAUCACCUCGUUUGAUCCCACAGCUUCACCCCUCGACUUGAUUUCGAAUAUGGUGAAGAUGAGUCAAGGGAUCCUCCUCUAGCAUUGGAUGCUUUGCGAUGUUGAUUUCGAUGGCUUACACAUGCUGUCUGCUCAUAAUUUCUUAUAUUCGUUUCAACAAUAAGAUUACGCCGAGUAAUCUCCAUCCCUCGAAAUCAUAGUAUUGCCCGAGUCAAAAAGCAUGAUUGAUUACCGAGCAAUACUAUCUCGACCACUGCAAAACACACUCUUGAAUUCCUGAAAAGCAGCAUGUCCUCGUGUAGGGCAUUACUACAUGCAUGAAAGUAUUAAGAAACCGGGAUCUUUGAGUAGAUCUUUCAAGUGGGAUAGGACCCACUUAAAAAAAUAGCAAGGCAAAAUUGAGGCCCAUGUGUAAGCAUACAAGGACAUCCAUUAAAGCCCAUGAGUAGAUCUUUCACUAAUUUUUAUUUAUCAAUUUUCCCAUAAAUUAUCUUGAUUUUCCAGUUCCCGUUAAAAUUAUUUAAUGAAAAACGUUAAGUACUUGUAAAAUGAUGCUAUUUUUUUAAUAGAAAAAAAGUGCAAUUUAGAAUAUAUUUUUUAAUAAAAACAUAAUUGAAAAGCCUUAAAGAUGAAUGCAAGUCGUUAACAAAACAAGUAGUUUUUAAAGUUUAAGAGUAAAAUCAGUAUGCAAAAUUAUGUAAUGACAAAAUUAAGACUAUUGAGAGUGUUUCUGAGACUUCGGCUUUUCUUCUUUGAAGCUUCGACGUAAGUGCUUUGGAGGGUGAGAGAAAUGGAGGAGAGAAGGGUUGACUAGCUGUAAACCAAUUAUUGACCCAGAGGGGUUCCUUUUGAGGUCACCAAAUUUCCACGAAAGAGAUGAAAUCACCUAUAAGCCCAAGCUCAAAGGUUACAGAAUGUAAAAAAAGGCAAGCUAAUCGUUGUUCUCUUAUUGAGCAAAAAGCAAAGCAAACAUGGGCAGGAGGACAGCUUCUUGCUCUCUGUUUCUGUUUUUCACUCUUUUCACAACCUUGCAGAGUCCAAUUCUGGCUGCAAAAAAGGCAAGCUAGCAUGCAUUAAUGUUGUCUGAUCGUUUAGUCUUUCAAGUUACAUUUGCAAUCUCUCUUAUGUUAUAAUUCUGCUACUGACAGUGAUACCCGUGUCUGUGUACGUGCAGUCUUAUGUGGUUUACCUUGGGAGACAUUCUUAUGCUUCUGAACCUUCCACCACUGACCUGGAUAGGGUAGCCGAUGCCCAUCAUGAACUUUUGGGUUCUUGUAUGAAGAGGUGGUGAUGCAGUCCUGAAUAUUUCUGCUGUGUGAUCAGUGCUGUAUUUGGUUGUUCUAAUACUGAUGAUUAAGUUUGAACUCGUUAUGACAGCAAGGAGAAGGCGAAACAAGCCAUCUUUUACUCCUACACUCGCUAUAUCAACGGUUUUGCAGCAGUACUUGAAGAUGAAGAAGCAGCUGAGAUUUCAAGUAUAUAUAAUACUAUUAAAAUUGUUCAGCUUGUAUAUCGUGCAAUCCUUGGUACUAUUACAAUUAUGGUCUUGUUAAUACGUUUUCAGAGCAUCCAGAAGUUGUAUCAGUUUCUCGAAACCACAUAAGUCAAUUACACACAACAAAUUCUUGGGGCUUUCUUGGACUGGAAAGAAAUGGAGAAAUUCCAGCUGAUUCUAUGUGGCUAAAGGCAAGAUUUGGCGAAGACGUAAUUAUCGGGACCCUUGAUACUGGUAAUUAUAAUUUUACAUGUCUGUGUACAUGCGUAGAACUGGUCAAGUCUCCUUCAUAUCAUUUCAUCUUCUUAAUUUAAAUGUUUCUUGCAUUCAAUUAUUUUGGACCAGGUACAGCUACAUUGCAUCUGAAAGAAAAAUCUCCAAUGAUGGUAAAUUUUUGAUCUAUUUUUCUUGACUGUGCAUGACGCUAGGUGUUUGGCCGGAAUCCGAAAGCUUCAAUGAUGAAGGGAUGGGGCCUGUUCCAUCUAAAUGGAAGGGAUACUGUGAUCCAAAUGAUGGGAUUAAAUGCAACAGGUACUUUAAUUUCUUUCUCAAGGCCAGAGCACUUUUCUUGACCCGAACUACUCAUUUUGCCUCUGAUAAUGAACCGCAGACAAAUUCUUCUGUUUCCUAUAGUAAGAUCAGUAACAUAAAAGAUAUGUUGUUAUUAGCAGGAAACUUAUAGGAGCAAGGUACUUUAGCAAAGGCUACGAAGCAGAAACACAUGAUUCUUCAAACCACACCGCGCGAGAUUAUGAUGGCCAUGGAACCCACACUCUAUCCACUGCUGGAGGUCGUUUUGUUUCGGGGGCAACCUUCCUUGGUUCAGCUUAUGGAACAGCUAAGGGAGGUUCGCCCAACUCGCGAGUCGCUUCAUACAAGGUCUGCUGGCACGGCUGUAGCGAUGCUGAUGUGUUGGCUGGCUAUGAAGCUGCUAUUCAUGAUGGGGUCGAUAUCCUCUCCGUGUCACUUGGAUCCGAUCCGAGAGAAUACUUUACUCAUGGGAAUGCAAUUGGAGCAUUUCUUGCAAUGGAGAACGGGAUUGUUGUAGUUGCCGCCGCUGGAAAUGAUGGACCUGACCCUGGAGUCGUUGGGAAUGUAGCUCCCUGGAUUCUUACAGUUGCUUGUAGCACUAUCAGUAGGGAGUUCACAUCUAAUGUCAUCCUCGGAAAUAACAAACAAUACAAGGUUCGUUCUGUAAGCUCAUAUCUUUAGCAAGUCCUUGUAAAUUGUUCUACCUAUCAUGGGAUCCAAGAAUUUGCUAUAUUAAUUUCUAGAUAAUCAGGGUAUGAGUUUUAAUACCAACACUCAACCAGCUGGGAAGUUUUACCCCUUGAUCAAUUCGGUGGAUGCUAAAGCUGCCAAUGUUUCCAGUAAUCAAGCGUAAGCAGCAAACUAAUUUUGUUCUCGGCCAAAAUUAUAUUUUCUGUGCUUGUUAGGUUCAUAUUUCUUAUCUUGUUGUCUUUGGCAGAAAAUAUUGCUCCAUCAGAUCCCUUGACCCCUUGAAAGUUAAAGGGAAAAUUGUAUAUUGUACUCGCAACGAAGAUCCUGAUGUAGAAAAGAGUCUGGUUGUUUCUCAAGCUGGUGGUUUUGGGGUGAUACUUGCUAAUCAAUUGAUAAUUCAACAAAUCCGACCUCGAGCACACUUUGUUCCUACUUCCGUUGUCUCUGCAGACGAUGGACUUUCCAUUUUAACUUAUGUCUAUAGUACAAAGUAAGGUCUACGUUAAUAGAUAUUUCAGACAAUUAAACUUUGUUGAUUUCAGUCGAUAAUGCCCUGAACAAUCUAUCGUUUGCGAUCCUGUGAAUCUCUUGGAACUUCUCUUUUCACUCAGGUCACCUGUAGCUUACAUAAGUGGCGCCACGGAGGUGGGAACAGCGGCUGCACCUGUCAUGGCUGAUUUUUCAUCUCCCGGGCCUAACUUCAUCACCCCAGAGAUCCUUAAGGUACGUACUCUUAACAGUUUCAAAUGAGCGUUUUAAAAUAUUAUUUUUAUAGUGAGAGUGCAUGUGAUGAUUUCAGCCCGACAUCACUGCACCUGGAGUCAAUAUUCUAGCUGCCUUCACCGGAGCAUCAGGGCCAACUGAUGAGCCAGGAGACCGGCGCCGAGUACAUUUCAACUUUUUAUCUGGAACCUCAAUGGCAUGCCCCCAUGUUUCCGGAAUCGCAGGUCUUCUGAAGACUAUGCACCCUGAUUGGAGUCCUGCUGCAAUUAAAUCUGCAAUCAUGACAACGGGUUAGUGCUUUUCUGCUCUUCGCAUUAGCAUCUCCUAGUUAUUGAUGGACGAGUCAUUGAUAGCUUGAGUGGUUGCUUAUGACAUUUCAGCGACAACGAUCAGUAAUGUGAAGCAGCCUAUUGCAAAUGCUUCUCUUCUUGAGGCAAACCCAUUGAAUUAUGGUGCCGGGCACAUCUGGCCUAGCCGUGCAACGGACCCAGGCCUGGUCUAUGACCUAACGACUAAAGAUUACGUGAAUUUUCUAUGCUCCAUUGGCUAUAAUUCAACCCAGUUGUCACUUUUUAUUGGGAAGCCAUACAUAUGCCAGCAGCACAAUGGCCUGCUGGAUUUCAACUAUCCAUCCAUUACUGUCCCGAAUCUCUCAAGCAACAAGACCACGUUGUCCCGAACCUUGAAGAACGUGGGGACUCCAAGCUUGUAUAGAGUUAAUAUCAGGGCACCUGGAGGCAUAUCUGUGAAGGUUGAGCCAAGAAGCUUGAAGUUCGAUAAGAUAAACGAAGAGAAAAUGUUCAAGGUCACUCUAGAGGCCAAGAAAGGGUUUAAGAGUAAUGACUUCGUGUUUGGAGAGAUAACGUGGUCUGAUGGGAAACACCAUGUGAGGAGUCCUGUUGUGGUGAAGAAGAUGGAAGUAGCAGCGUAAGGUUGAAGGACAGUACUGACCUGGCGUCUGGAUUUGUAGGUGGAAGGCCAGCGUGUAGAGAUCUAUAUAUCUCCAUGGUCACCAAAUCGAUCUUCAAAUUCCCGUUCCAUGUCAUGACAAGUAUCGAAUGUCACCAAAUCGUGUCAUUUUUUUAUGCCACUAAUCUAGUGAUUGAACUAAAAAAAUAAAAAUAAAAAUAAAUGGGUUUGUUUUAGAAUGUUUUGGAAUGGUUCUUGGUUUUUAUCUACUUUCUAUUGAUUUUGUUUAGUUGCUUUAGUAUUUUUGUUUUUCUAUUUUUAUGUUAUUUAUGGCUCUGUUUUUUACCUUUUGUUGUGUGACAACUGAUUAGGUUACUGUAUAUUAAGGUUUUUUAGAGUGUAGGUAAUUCUUUGAAGCCUAGCUUACCAUCUUUCAUUUAUUAACAAAAUCUUAUGAUAAAGACAUUCAAUUGUCAUAUCCCUCAAUUGGAGAACAAAAGGAUAUACAUACAUUUUGUAGGUGUCAAAAAAAUAUGAAAGAUCUAUUAAUGUUAUUUAUUUACCUUAGUUUUUUUUAGGCUUAAUAAUUCUAUCUAGGAAAUUAUUUUCUAGUAUCUAAUUAAUCACAUAUUGCAGUGCGAUUAAGCUAAUGAUAAAUGAAUUCCCAAAAGAUUUAUCUACUUAUCGUGGUUUUUUUUUCUUUAGGCUUCAUAAUUGUACCUAAGAAAAUGACAUAUUACAUUACAAUUAAGUUAAUGAUGAAUGAAUUCCUACAAAGACCUUUUACCGAAGAAUGUGACCAUUUUAAGAGGUAGUAUAACAUCAUAAUUUUCUAAAAUAUCUUAGGUGUUGUUUUUGAACAAGUAUAUCCAAUUCAAACAUAAUAGUAAUAUUAUUUGGAAAAUUCUACUUUUAAUGUAUAAUAAGAAUAGUUGAUAAUAAAAAAAAUUAAACCUUCUAGUGAAUUUAAGAUGAUUUGAGAAAUAAGAACAAGAUCCUAAAUUAACAAGAUUCCAAGACCCGCUCCACAAUCACAACUAAAAAAUCCAAUUAAAAACACAUGAGGUUGUGGCCUAGUGGUUGAAGGGACUUGUUCCCUUCCUCCACACCAGGGUUCAAGCCUCACUUGUGUAUACCUGUCACCCCCGCGGUGUAUUACAUGCUCACUGGGCUUGCAGGAUAUUCAGUGAACCUGGAGAUUAGUUGUGGUGCGCUCAAGUUGGCCCGGACACCCCGUGUUACCAAAAGAAGAAGAAGAAGAAGAAGAAAAUAGAUAAUAUAUAACAAAAACAAGAGGAAAAGGUGAUAAAGAAAGGGAUUUGAGGGAGAGUAUUACCUGAAAUUAUAGGGAUUCAAGGAAGCUUCAAUCUUGAUUUAUGCAAAGUGGAUCUGUACGAGGUUUAUUUUUUGUUAAAGAAAGGGAAGUCUUUUUCGGAGCUAAGAAGAGGGAAACACUUUUCUUUUAGGAAAUACUUAUUUUUUUCUUUAGUUGAAAACUACCAUUCUAGAGUUUACCGAACAUGAAAAAGUUUUGGAAAAUAACUUAUUGAAAAGUUAUUUCCAUAAAACAAACAAGGCCUUAAUGUUAAGAUAUACCAGUGUCCCAUAGGACAUCUUAGUAAACUAAAUGUAAAAAUUGUUAAAAAAUAAAAAAAGUUCUAGGUAAAGAGCUGGUUAUAUGAUAGAGAAGAUAACAAUCACCCUAUACAUUCUAUCUAAAGUAAGUUGCUUCAUAUUUAUUUUUAAUGAUAAAGGUGUAUAAUAUGUUUACGCGCUAAGAGUUUGUCUAAAUUGGCAUAUGCUCAUUUGUUAUUAAGGAUAAAUACUAUUAUGACUUAAGAUAGUGAUUUAAGACUUGGACUUGGUAACAAGGAACACUUUUCACUUUGAAAAAACGAGCAUUAGACCCGCAGGGAAGGUGAGAAAUUGAUAAGUAUAAACCUGUUCAAGAUUCUGUUGAUUGAAAUGGGUCCAAAAACUAUCCCUCACACUCAAUAGGCCUAUAUGUGAUCAUAUCGAUCCAACCCAAAUUCGCUCGUCGCAUCAAAAAAAGGUAUUCCAAAAAAAAAUCAAUAUGAAAAUAAAUUCGUACACAUCUACAUGAACAUAUAAAAUUCAAAUAAUAGGAUAUUUAUAAAUAAUAUUAACGAGUUAAACUUAAAGUCAAGGUUUUACAAAUAUAGUCGAGACCGAAGCCUCUGACCUAGGUUAUGGCGGAAUUCUUAAACAAGUUCAAGAUGACAAAGAGCAGAUCCUCGAAUGCACAUCCGCCCACUAGAAUGAUUGCCAGAAAAGUACUCUACUAUAUAUAUAUAUAUAAAGAGAUCCUUUCAAUUGUUUUCUAUAUUAAAAAAUUUCAAAGUGAUUUACUAAAUCAAAAAUUUCUUUUAUGUGUUGAUUGCAAAUCCGCAAAAGAAGUUCUAUAAAAAGAUGUCCAAAAUCUUGCUUCAAAAUAGAUUUUUGCCAGAUGGCAAGCUAUUUUAAGCAUUUUUUAUUUCAAUAUUGUCUACAUUAAAGGAGAUUCAAAUUUCAUUCCUGAUUUCUUAACCUGAGAAUUCCUUCAAAAUAGGUCUUGAUGCCUCUGAAAGCAAAGGCCAAAGACAAGAGAAAAGCCCCUCAAACCCAACCUACAAAACCAGAGAGCCCCAAACCCUCUAUAAAACAAUGUCUUCAGCUAUCUUAGCUGCCAAACCAAUCAAAUCCUCGUAUGAGGCAGUUAUUAAAGAAGAAGAAACUACAAAAACCCCAACAGGUACAAACAGACGCAGUUCAACAUUGGGUUGACACUAUAUCCAAAUCACCAUAAUUACUCCUGGCAUUACAAAAAGUGUCUCAACAGACCUCCGGUGACUCCGUAUCUCAAACAGGUAGUAUUUUUCAAACCACUUUCAAAACCAUAAGGAGGUAUUUCUACUUCAAAACCCCUCAUUUCUUUACAACAAACUAGUUUUCUAAAAACCAAAUCCAAAUAUAUUUUCAAAACUACUUUCCAAAAUAUUUUAACUAUGGAGGAAGGAUUUUAUCAUGAAAACCCUUUCAUUGCUUCUUCCAAAAUUUUCCCUUCAAAUUGGUACUACAAACCCUGGAAUUUAGCCAAACCACAAUCCUAUUAUGCCGUAAUCCUUGAGAUUACUAAUUCUAUCAAGUUCAAACACUUCAAACUUCAUUCUGAUCACACUGAACCGGCAUAUUCUACAUGUAUCAUUCACAAAGUCAUUCACCCUAAAGACUUGGGUCAACCCUUACAUCAACAUCUUUCCUUCCCCAUACACUUCUGUACAAACCCCUAGGACUUCAAUACUUCCUAUACAUAUUGGGAUUACCAACAGGCAUGGUUCAAUGCCUUCCUCCUAUAAAAUCCAAACCAUAGUCAUUCUUGGCUUUUCUACUUCCAUAAUGACAUGAAUACUACAAACCUCCCCCUCUGGUUCCUCCAAUGGUGGGACUAUUAUGGUUGUCAUGUUGACUACCUCAAAGGCCAUCCUCUGGUUGAAAACGGCUACCUCCAUUUCAAAAAUAAUUUUUAACCAGCUUCUUCUGAAAGGAAGUUCUCUUCCUUGCUCAUUUUCUGUACAAAUUUUUUUAUGUCAUGGGUAUGUUUGUGGUUCUAUGAUUAUAAUUGUCGCACGUAAAUGCGGCGUCACGGCGAAAAACUAAGUUUUCCAUUUUUAAAACCACAAUGUAAUAUAUAUAUGGGGAUACGAGAAAAUAUUAUUUUUUUUUUGGUAAAAAUGGAAUGGGAGUCGCCACCUAGUAUUUUGGUCACUAGGAACCCUAACUGGUCUCAGAGAUCGGGUACGGGGACUGGUUGCGUAAAGGGAAGGUAUUAGCACCCCAAGUACGCCUUACCUAAGGUAAGCUGCAUUGUUCUAUUGUCUGAUAAAAGCUAUGGUGUUUUUUUUUUUUUCUAGUCGUUGGUCUGUCUAUGGUUCAAGAAAAAUCCUCCUCAGUAAGAAGGUCUUUUAUCUUAUCGGGUAAAAACUUAACCGUUCUAACGUCUACCAAAAAGAUAAUAUUUAGGAAUACGUUUUACGUAUAAAUUCGUAAUCCCAAAUACUAAAAGAAAACAAAAAGAUUUUUUAGAAUUUUUGAAAUCUUGGCCUAGUUCUCAUGGCUUAAAUAAACUGGUUAUUCAAGCCAAAAUGCAUGCUAAUACGUACAUUGUUUUGAAAAUUUUCUUUGUUGUGUAAAAAAAAUGAUGUUAUAAUAUUUAUAUCUAUAUAUAUUGGAGAGACUAAGCCGUAUUUUAAAGACAAAAACAAUUUUUGAAAAUAUUAUUAUUAUUAAUUCUUUUUUUUUUUGCUUUUUUUUGACGUAAAUCGGGUAUUUAAAUACUGAGCUUGUAUCCUUACGGUAUAAAAAUACAACCCAAUAUUAUUCCACCUUAAUAAAAAAUGCAGAAAAAUCAACAACAUUUUUAGGUAUUUUUUUAGAAAUUUUUUUGAAAGCAAAAACAUUUUUUAUUCGAAAAAUCUUUGAUAUUUUUACGAAAACCGGGUAUUUUUAACACUGGUUUGAUAUCUUUACAGUAUAAAAAUACCAACCAACAUUAACCCAUUUUGACAAAAAUAUUCAGGGAAAUCAACAAUAUUUUUUAAGAUUUUUCGAAAUAUUUUUUUUUUAGUAAAAAAAAAUAUACACAAUAUACACACAUAUAUAUUACAAUAUACUAUAAUUAAUAAUAUAUUUAUAAUAAAAAUUCGGGUUGGGCCGGACCAAAUGAAUGGGCCGAACCCAACCCAGCCGGAAUCGGGCCCAACAUCAGCCCGAAACAGGAGUGGGCCGAUCGCAGCCCAGCAAAAGGCUGGGCCGAUCUCGGCCCGCAAGGAGGUUGGGCCGAUCUCGGCCCAACGAAAGGCUGGGCCGAUCUCGGCCCGCAAGGAGGUUGGGCCGAUCUCGGCCCAACGAAAGGCUGGGCCGAUCUCGGCCCGCAAGGAGGUUGGGCCGAUCUCGGCCCAACGAAAGGCUGGGCCGAUCUCGGCCCGCAAGGAGGUUGGGCCGAUCUCGGCCCAACGAAAGGCUGGGCCGAUCUCGGCCCGCAAGGAGGUUGGGCCGAUCUCGGCCCAACGAAAGGCUGGGCCGAUCUCGGCCCGCAAGGAGGUUGGGCCGAUCUCGGCCCAACGAAAGGCGGGGCCGAUCUCGGCCCGCAAGGAGGUUGGGCCGAUCUCGGCCCAACGAAAGGCUGGGCCGAUCUCGGCCCGCAAGGAAGUUGGGCCGAUCUCGGCCCAACACAAGGCUGGGCCGAUCUCGGCCCGCAAGGAAGUUGGGCCGAUCUCGGCCCAACACAAAAAACAUCUUUAGCCUGGGCCAGACUCGGUCUGGCCCAAAAUGAAUAACAACAAAACUGGGCCGGAAACCCGGCCCAGUGUUAAAAAAAACUCAGCGGGGAAGGGAAAACAGUUCCCUUCCCCUACCUCCUGCAUGCAGAACGAUUCUGCAUGCAGGAGGACAAACAGAAAAAAAAAAGUGCAGGGGGUGGAGGAAAUACCUGGCACGGCGGAGGAAAUACCCGUGUUGAUGGUGCUGCAGCAAAGUUGGUGGCUCCCAAGCGACGGUGCUUAACAGUCGGGUGUCCUCUCGGGUCGUGUCCGGUUAACGUUUUCUCUAACUCUCCCCACGGCUUCAGUCUUCUUCCCCUCCUCCCCGUGCUGUUUCUUCGAGUUUUAGGUGUUUAGUUCUACUGUUUAAGUCGUCUCUCUCUCCUCCAGUUUCUCUCUCUCUCUUGGUCUUGGUCUCCCCCUUUUUUCUCCUCUUUUCUCCCCCGUGCUUCACAUCUUUCCCCUUCUUUUAUAGGCGGGCAAAGGAGCGGGGCUGCAUAGGCAGCGUGGGGAGCAGAACAAGGUGGGUCGAGCUGGGCAACGUGGGGGGCAGCGCCGGUCGGCUGGUCGGUGAGCGUGGUUGAUCACGGCGUGGCCCUCCUGGCUUCGCGUCGUCCGAGGUGCAUGGGCCUGGUCUGUCAGUGCACGCGAGGAGAGAGGGGCACCGGUUGAUUAAACAACGGUUUCGUCCAUGCUGCUGCACGUUCGGGGAGGAAGAAGAAAGGAGAACAGUGCCGUUCAAAACGGCACCGUUUGGUCCCCUUUUUUUUUUUUUUUUUUUUUUUUUAAAAUAUAUGAAACGGCGUCGUUUUGGGGAAAACGCGCCGUUUCAUUUAAAAAAAGGCGCCAGAAUACGCAAAAUUUCAACUCAGCCCUCAAUUAUCUUUUGAUUCCUUCAAUUGCGUCCCUGCCAAUUUCGGUCCUCGCCCCCAUAGUUGGCCGCGUUUUUCAUCUUGGUCCUUGGCCUCUGAUUUAUGCAAUUAAGCCCUCAAUUGACCAAUAAACUUCCAAUUUCUUCAAUUACGCCCCUGGAUCAAAUCAAGACAGCCCCCUCUAUUUACCCGCGUGUUCCAAAUUGGUCCCUGGUUUCGGAUUUUCACAAUUAAGCCCCUAAUUGGCCAUUAAACUUCAAUAUUUAUGCAAUUAAGCCCCUGAUUUGGCCUAAUAAAUUCCAAAAAAAUAUAUUUUGGCCCCAGAACUUAAAUUUCUCCCAAUUAAAACCCAAAUUGACCUAAAAAUAAAUUUUUCUUGCACUCCAAUCCUCUAUAAAUUCAAAUAAAAUCCAAUUAAGUCCCUAAACAUCCAAAUUUGGGCUUUUCUCCUCAAAAAUUCAAAUUUUCCUUCUCAACAGGGCUCUCAUCCUUCAAGAAAAUAUUGCCAAAAAUCCAAUCUCUGUAUUUUUAACCUCCGUGACCAAUCUUUCGACCAUUUUCUGAGCGCUUAUGCCUCCUGUUAUUUUUUCUAACCUUCUUCGGCUAUUUAUUUAUUAUUAUUUUUUUGUGGGGAUCCAAAAAUGGGUUACAACAGAUGCCCCCUCUUUAUAAUGCUUACGGAGCAAAGGCGUAGUAAGUUUUAUAAAGAUAACCCAGUCUGAACUCCUGAAACUGAUUUGGUCGAAGCUUAAUCGAUCUGAAAUUCUUUCUUUACAGCAAUCCUCUUCGGCCUCAAAUAUUGGGAUCCCAUCUGGCGAUUCCCUGAACAUAGAAAAUAUGAGGUCCCCUCUGGCGACCUCUUUUGACAAUUAUCGAAAUACGAGAUCCCUUCUGGCGAUCUCCUUUAAUCAACUUGGAACCCCAUCUGGCGAUUCCUAUAUGAAAUAUGAGAUAUGAGGUCCCAUCUGGCGGCCUGCAAGUAGUGAAACACGAGAUCCCUUCUGGCGAUCAACCUGGAAUCCCAUCUGGCGAUUCCUUUUUAACCAAAAUGAAAUAUGAGGUCCCGUCUGGCGACCUUCGAAUAGUGAAACACGAGAUCCCUUCUGGCGAUCUCCUUUAAUCAACUUGGAAACCCAUCUGGCGAUUCCUUUUUAACCAAGAUGAAAUACGAGGUCCCAUCUGGCGACCUCCGAAUAGUGAAACACGAGAUCCCUUCUGGCGAUCUCCUUUAAUCAACUUGGAAUCCCAUCUGGCGAUUCCUUUUUAACCAAAAUGAAAUACGAGGUCCCAUCUGGCGACCUCCGAAUAGUGAAACACGAGAUCCCUUCUGGCGAUCUCCUUUAAUUAACUUGGAAUCCCAUCUGCGAUUCCCCUUUUUCCAAAAUGUUAUCGACGUCGCUCUUCCUGCUGGCGGGUUUUGACAAUUACUUUCUCUUCUUGUUGUUCUAACGGUUCAUUAUUCGUCCCCAUUCUUGUUGGAAUGCACUAAGAUCUCCUCCUGUAACGAUAGAGAAAAGAACAUACAUGCAAUGAUUUAUGAUUAGAUAUAAUGCAUGCAUCCGUACCUGGUUUUUUUGAAACAUAGGCCCCAUCAUCUUCUUCUAGUUCCUGAAGCUCUUUCUUAAUACGAGCUUGCUUUUGAAGUCAUAUGCUGGAUUCAUCUCUCGCGUUGCCUCUUUUUACUGAUCAUAUUCUUGGAGAAUAAUUCUUUGAUUUUCUUCAAGUAGACAUUUUCUCAAAAUGUAUGACUUGUUAUUGCCUUUUUGUCAUGCUUUUGUCAAAUGCUUUAGCUUGGUUUUCAAAUUUGUUGGCUUCCGUAAUACUUUUAUAAAAACAUCUUGUAUUGCCUCCCAACGUAGGGGUGUGAUCCUAGUUUGGGCUUUUAUAUAGAGAAGAAAUGCGUUCAGCCGAUGCUAAAAAUUUUAAUAAGUGAUGAGAAUAACACCAAGACAUGCACUGUUUGGAUUAAUGCGAAAAUGAAUGUUGUGAGAUCAAUGCAAGAAGAAAGAAAUCAAUGGCCAAACUUUGCUUUAUUGAUUUAAGGGUUUACAUCAAGCAUAAUAUCUUUUCACAGAGUCAGAAUUCACAGGCCUAGCUAAGUCUUCUCCAUCCAUUCUAGCUAACUUCAAUGCUCCUCCUGAGAAUGCCCUUGUUACUACAUAAGGACCCUCGUAAUUUGGUGCCCAUUUGCUUUGAUCAUCUCCGGGUAGUGACAAUAUUUUCUUUAAUACUAAAUCCCCUUCUUGAAACAUCCGUGGCCUAACCUUCUUAUCAUAUGCUUUAGCCAUUCGUUUCUGGUAAAGCUGGUGGUGACAUAUUGCGGCCAUCCUCUUUCACUGAUCAGGUUCAGUUGCUCGUGUCUUACUUUGGCCCACUCGGCCUCUUCUAACUCUGAAUCUAUUAACACUCUUAACGACGGGAUUUCCACUUCCAAGGGCAUCACUGCCUCCAUACCGUAUACUAGAGAAUAUGGGGUAGACCCUGUCGAGGUUCGGACUGCGGUGCGAUAUGCAUGAAGGGCAAAUGGCAACAUCUCAUGCCAAUCCCUGUAGUUGACUACCAUCUUCUGAAUAAUCUUUUUGACAUUCUUGUUAGCAGCUUCUACCGCCCCAUUCAUCUUUGGUCUAUAUGGCGAAGAAUUGGAAUGCUUGAUUUUCCACUUAGUGCAGAGCUCUAUUAUCAUCUUGCCGUUGAAAUUUUGGGCAUUGUCAGUUAUAAUCUUUUCUGGUGGACCAUACCGACAUAUCAAAUCUCUCUCAAUAAACUUCUUCACCACUUUUUGCGUCACAUGAGCAAAUGACCCGGCUUCUACCCAUUUUGUGAAGUAGUCAAUAGCCACGAGGAUAAAUCUAUGACCAUUGCUCGCUUUUGGGUUUACAGGUCCAAUUACAUCAAUUCCCCACAUCGCGAAGGGCCAUGGAGAUGUUAGGUUAAACAGAGGAGCUGGUGGCAUAUUGACCUUGUCACUGUAAAUUUGACAUUUGUGACAUUUUCUGACAUAGUCUAUACAAUCUUUUUCUAGUGUCAUCCAAAAAUAACCAGCCCUUUGGAUUUUCCUUGCCAUCAUAUGUCCGCUAGCAUGGGUUGAGCAAAUCCCCUCAUGGACCUCUUUUAAUGCCCUUCUAGCAUCUGCCUCAUCCAAACACCUUAACAAGGUUCCAUCAAAUGACCUUUUAUAUAAAAUCUCUCCAUCUAAAUAGAAGUCUAUAGCCAACCUUCUCAAGGUUUUCUUAUCCGUCUUAGAAGCUCCCACCGGAUAUUCCUGAUUCUGCACCAGAUUCUUGAUAUCGUAAUACCAAGGUUGUCCGUCUAUCUCUCCCUCAACUAAACAACAGUGAGCUGGAUCAUUUCUAAUAUCAAUGUGUACCGGUUGUACCUUGCACUUGAGAUCAAUGGUAGUCAUAGCAGCUAAUGUGGCCAAAGCAUCCGCAAAAUGGUUCCCCUCCCUUCCCAGAUGGGUGAAUCUAAUUUCUUCAAAUUCCUUUGCUAGCAUGGAUAGGUAUUCCUGGUAAGGCCUCAACUUUUCUUCUUUGGUUUGCCAUUCCCCUUUUACCUGGCAAAUGAUCAACAUUGAGUCCCCAUAUACAUCUAUCUUCUUUAUUUUCAGCUCCAAUGCUGCUUCUAAACCGAGGAUACAAGCUUCAUACUCAGCUGUAUUGUUGGUGCACUCGAAGUGUAGUUUGACCGAAACGGGGUAUUGUUUCUUAUCAGGAGAGAUUAUUACCGCCCCUGCCCCGUUACCAUAUACAUUUACUGCCCCAUCAAAAAACAUGGUCCACCAAUCUGUCUUUUCUUCUUCCUUUUCUAUUGACAAUAUAUCUUCAUCAGGGAAAUCAAAAUCCAAAGGUUCGUAAUCUUCAAUAGCAUUAUCGGCCAGAUGGUCUGCGAUUGCACUCCCUUUUACGGCUUUCCUUGUCAUAUACACUAUGUCAUAUUCUGCUAACAAAACUUGCCACCUUGCAAUCCUACUUGAGAGAAAAGGCUUAUUACAAAUAUACCUCAGAGGAUCCACUUUUGAAAUCAACCAAGUGGUAUAGUAUAACAUGUAAUGUCUCAACCUCUUUGCCGCCCACACCAACGCACAACAGAGCCUUUCUAUCUCCGUGUAUCUGGACUCACAUUCAGUGAAUUUCUUACUCAAGUAAUAAAUAGCUCUUUCCUUCCUUCCGGUUUCAUCAUGCUGACCCAAUACACAACCCAUGGCUACUUCAGUAACGGUUAGAUAUAAUACUAGAGGUUUUCCUGAUACAGGAGGAACCAGUAAAGGUGGAUUUUGUAAAUAAUGCUUGAUUUUAUUGAAUGCCUCCUCACACUCCUCAUUCCAGGUUCCGGGAUUCUUUUUCCUUAGUAGCCGGAAUAUAGGCUCGCAUGUUGUUGUUAGCUGAGCUAUAAACCGAGCAAUGUAAUUCAACCUUCCCAAGAAUCCUCUUACUUCUUUCUCCGUCUUAGGGGACGACAUGGCCUGGAUGGCCCUUACUUUAUCCGGAUCCACCUCUAUACCUCUAUCACUUACCACAAAUCCCAACAGCUUGCCCGAUUUAACUCCGAAUGAACAUUUUGCAGGAUUAAGCCUUAGUUCAUACUUUCUCAACCUCUCAAAUAACUUCCUCAAAACUUCCACAUGAUCUUGUUCCUUUUUAGACUUGGCAAUCAUAUCAUCUACAUAUACCUCAAUUUCUUUGUGCAUCAUGUCGUGGAAUAGAGUCACCAUUGCUCUUUGAUAUGUUGCACCCGCGUUCUUUAACCCAAAUGGCAUGACCUUGUAGCAGUAGGUCCCCCAAGGUGUGACAAAAGUUGUUUUCGCCUUAUCCUCUAAAGCCAUUUUUAUUUGGUUGUAUCCUGAAAAACCGUCCAUAAAGGAAUAAGUGGAACUUCGGGCAGCAUUAUCCACUAAAACAUCUAUGUGGGGUAGAGGAAAAUCAUCCUUAGGGCUGGCCUUAUUCAAAUUCCGAAAAUCCACACAAACUCGAAUCUUCCCUUCCUUCUUAGGCACCACAACAAUGUUAGAUACCCAUUGUGGGGUAUCUAACUACUUCUAGAAAACCAGCAUCCCACUGCUUUUCGAGUUCUGCCUUGACCUUGAUCCAGACGUCUGGGUGGGCCCUCCUUAGCUUCUGCUUGACUGGCUUAUAACCUUCCUCCAACGGUAUCUUGUGUUCUACAAUACUUGUAUCCAAACCGGGCAUAUCUUCAUAGGACCAAGCAAAGACAUCUGAAUACUCUUGUAAUAGGGUGAUCAUUUUUAUCCUUUGUUCAGAAGUAAUUAGGGUACCUAUUUUCAACUCUUUCUUGAGCUGACCAUUGCCCACAUUGAUGGUUUCGAGUUCCUCGGUGGCAGGCUUCCAAGUCUGUUCCUGUUGUUCUACUAGCCUGGUGAAUUCACUGAUGUUGCUUUCAUCCCACUCUUCUUCUUCCAUAGCUAUUACAUGCUCGUUCCAGUUUGGCCAUUUAUUCUUGAUGUUAAAUGUAUGCGAUGUUGUUGGAGAUCCGCUUUCAGGAUUCCUGAAAGCGGGAAGUGCUUGGUGUAAAUGCAUAUAUAAAAAACAAUUUCUGAAAAAGUGCAUGAUCUCACAUUCAUUCAAAGGAAAAAGGUGGGCUCUAUGACAAAUAUAGAAUCUAGCUGACAUCAUGAGCCUUGAUUGUCAACUAGAGAAAACAAAAGCAAACAUAAGCAAUGACAAAAACAUGCUAAGGCAAACAAAGUUGGUUUACAUUUUGAAAACCACUGGAGCUUCUUGGGUCACCCAAUUCUGAAACUUUUCGCCUGGAGCCAACUUGCGCACAACGGUCUUGGCGGAGACUUCUUCUAGUGUAUGGAUCGUCAGCUGUGGUAGCACUUCAUCUUCUUUUCCCGCUACUGCUUUCACGUCAUCCCCUUUCUUCUCGUUUCCCUCCAAGGUGUUUAUGCUCAUAUGAGCCAGUUCUAUACCCAGGCUUUCAGCUCCCUUAUCAUGUUGCACUACGUAUGCAGCUCUUGGGAAUGAUAUGCUAAGGGGAGGGAUUUCUAAUUGUUCUUCUUCAAGAUCUCUUCCUUUGAUUCUAGCCAUCCUUCUUGCCCUUCUCCGAUUAGCAGCCCAACGAUAAUCCUCUUGGUUAGGUUGAUAUCCUAACCCAAAUCUUUGAUCAGCCUUUCUCUUUCUUGUCGGAUUAGCCCCUUCUGGUAUUCCGCAAGCGAGGUUAUAUUGACGUGGGACCCCACGGUUCAAGAAGCAUAGACUUGCCAUCCUUGUUGCUUCUGAAAUCCUUGGCCUUCUUAGCACGGUGUUCUCCGGCACCCAGUCGGUGUUCACGAUCUCAAAAGCAUGGAUAUUGCCAUCCUUGCAAUCCUCCGCUUCGAUGAAAGGCACAGCCACAUUCUUUAUCAUGGAUAUUGCCUCCUCAGCCUUGACAGUUACCAACAUCCCAUUCAUGAUGUACUUCAGGCAUUGGUGCAAUGACGAAGUUACUGCCCCCGCCGCGUGAAUCCAAGGUCUUCCCAACAACAUGCUAUAGGAAGGGUGGAUAUCCAUAACCUGAAGUGUCACUAGGAACAUUUGCGGUCCCACAUAUAGCUCCACUUCUAAAGUCCCAAGUAUUGGCCUAGGUGAGCCAUCAUAUGCUCUGGCCAUCAUAGUACUUGGCUUCAUAUGCGAUUCAUCAAUCGGCAUUUCCUCUAGAAUGUGCUUUGGCAGUACGUUGAGGGCCGAGCCAUUAUCGACGAGCACCUUCCCUACAAGACAGUCUUUGCACCUAACAGUAAUGUAUAAAGGCUUGUUGUGUCCGGUACCUUCGGCAUCAAGCUCAUCAGCCGUGAAGUAGAGGUAAUUAGUUGCAUGGAUCCUCCCUACUAAAUGCUCCAUGGUUUUAUGCUCAAUGUCUUGAGGUACAUAUGCCUCAUUCAAUACCUUUUGCAAGGCAUUUCGAUGCGGCUCAGAGCUGAGUAUCAAGGACAUAAGGGAGAUUCGCGCUGGAGUCUUUUUUAGUUGAUCCACUAUGCAAUAUUCGCUAUGCUUGAUCAACUUCAAAAACUCAUUCGACUCCUCUUCCGUUACUGGUUUAUUAACUUCGGGAGCUUUGUCCAGAUCUACCACCUCCUUACCCUUUUCCUUCCUCCAUUCUUCAGGCGUAAAGCAACGACCACUCCUGGUCAAACCACUUAUCUCCGUCUGGAACAAAGGAAGAGGCGCUCGAAUGUCGGAGGCAUACCCAUAAUUAUACGGCAUGGCAUUGUGAUUCUCUUUUGUGCAGGACGGUUUAAUCAAGAUCAGCCUUGGGGGCCCAUUAGCAGUCUGUUGGAUCCGGCAAACUCCUGCCAUCUCAUCUUGGCCUUCCAUCAUGCUCACUUCGUACCUGCUCUCCAUGGGUUCAAUCCUCAAUUGUCCCAUCUUCAACAUUUUUGCGAUCUUUUCGCAAAACUUUGCGCAAUCCUCAAUGUGAUGUCCAUCUCUUCCGUGGAACUCACAGUAGUCACCUCUCCCCGAUUGCCUUACCGCCUUUGCCUUUAGAAAUCCUGAUUGUACUAACAUGUCGUACAACCUUUUCAUCGGCACCUUCAACACCUUGCCUUGAUUUCCCACUUCGAUCAUGCCUAUUCCACCACUAUUUGGAGCAUGCUUAGGCAAUGGGUUUGAAUUAACAUUGGGCUUGUCUUCAAAGGAUACCCAUCCCGCCCUAAUAAGCUCUAAUAACCUCUUUUUGAAGGCAUAGCAAGUUUCAAUCCCAUGCCCGGGAUUACCCCCAUGGUACUCGCAAGACAACUCAGGCUUGUACCAAAUUGGGAAUGGUGGUUGUAAUGGUAGUGUAGGGAUAGGAGCUACUUGUCCAAUGCUCAACAGCUUGGCAUACAUGUCCUUCAAUGGCAUGGGUAAAGGCGGCAGUUGUUCUGAAGUGUAUCUUGGGUGUGGUCUUUGGUAGUGAUCUUGGUAGUGAUUUUGGUAGUUUGGCUGGUUAUUUGUUCGGUUAGGUGAAAAAGAUUGGUUAAAGUUUAUGCGUGAGACUUGAGCGGUAGGUGCUUGUGGACUACGGAAAUUUACUUUCUUGCCUUUGUACCCGUCCUCCAAAUUGUUGACGUCCCCUUCUCUUUUCCUUCCAACAAAACCUUUCUUCUCUAAAGGCUCCGCUAUGCGCCCAGCUUUAAUUCCUUGCUCUAUUCUUUCGGCCACGCGUACAACAUCAUAGAAAUGUUGAGAUGAGCUACCCAUUAAAUGCUCAUAGUAAGGUGCCUUGAAUGUAUUGGCGAACAAAGUCACCAUCUCUGUUUCUAUUAAAGGGGGUUGCACAUGCGUGGCCUCGUCUCUCCAUCUUUGCGCAUAAGCCCUCACUGACUCUUGGCUUCUCUUUUCGAGUGACAUGAGGCUCGUUCGAUCUGGAGCGAUUUCUAAAUUGAACUUGUAUUGCUUUAGGAAAGCCUCCACUAAGUCCUUCCAUUUCUUAAUCUUGACAUUAUCCAGCCUCAUGUACCAACUUAACGCAGAUCCUUGCUAGACUGUCUUGGAAAAAGUAGAUCAUUAACUUAUCGUCAUGAAUCACCUCAGCCAUCUUAUUGCAAUAAGAUCGAAGGUGAGUGUUUGGGCAUUCCAACCCAGUGUACCUUAUAAACUCCGGUAUCCUAAAAUCUUUUGGCACCGUGAGGUUUGGUACCAAGCAUAUUUCCGACGCUCGCAUGGGGUCAAACCAAUCAUUUCCCUCGACUGCUCUUAACCUUUCUUCUAAUGCUGAUAUUUUGUCCUCGUUCACAGAACCAGUGGACCUAUUAUCGGAAGGCCCCUCAGCUGUUAAAUCUACAGUGAUGCGAGCUUGAGGGGGCUGAAUGGGAAUAGCCGGUGCAAAGUGCUGCCCCGUCGCUGAAUCUGCCCCCAAGUUCUGAGAUAACCCCAGGACAGGAACUGGCGGUGCUCCUAUAGGUGGUUGGGUAGACGUUCCCUCUCCGUUCUUGGUUCUUAACAGUUGCUCAAGCAGACUGGUCAGUCGAGAAACUUCAUUUUUCACUAAUUCCAACUCGGUCUGGUAGUGCGACUCUAAUUGAGCUCUUUCCUCGUUUUCCAUUCUUGAUCUUGACCGGGUUUGGUGGACUCUGGAUAUGGGACCUAUGUUUCACGAUCUGGCAUGCAUAUGAUGAAUUAAAAACAAAAUGUGUGAUGAGAAUGCGAUGCAUAUGUAAUGUGUAUAUAUAUAUAAUAUAUUAUGAGCUGAUUCAUGACUUUCGUAACCUUUAACAAGAUUUCUGAGUUGACCGGAUUACCAUAAAGGAGGGUUUGCCAAGUUCUUAUCAUAGUGGCUUACUCAACACAUUAAGAAAGGAAAUACGUCAUGGACUUCUUAUAAAUAACAUAAUUGCUCAUACAAAACAAUAAUGGAAAAGAGAAGUCCUAUACAUUGCUACUUCUAAAAGGCAUUUCCCCUAUUAGCUAAAUCCCUAAUAAAACAGACCAUGGCCCCCAUGUAUUCUCGAUACUUUGAACCGUCAUUUCCAACUUCGGUGGCUUGCUGUUGCAACCUUUCUGCACAAUGGGCUACGUGCUCCACCUGUUUUGACAUAUGUCUUAUCUUAUCAUGGAAUACAGCGUUAUCUCCGAUUAUUGCUUCGUUGCUGGCUCCUAAUGCUUCAUUGCUUCUUUCCAAUACUCGCACCAUACCCUCUGAUUGUGCCAACUUAUCUCUUGUCCUCUGUAGUUCCUCCUUUUCGAUGUCCAGCUCUGCUAUUUUGGAAUUGAGUUGAACUGUGAAGCUGUCCAUGUAGUCUUGGCAUUCUUGACGCUCUUGCUUAACCUUGCUCAUCUCUUCUUCCAUCUCGAAGUAGUGGCUUCUCAACUCCCUAAACUCUUCUUCUCGUACUUCGAUCUCCGAUUGUAACGCCCUCAUCCUUCCUUUUGAAGACUCAGCUCUCUUCUGGUAAUCUCUCAUGUCAGACUCAGCGGCCCUUCUCGCAUUUCUUUCUUCCUCUAAUUGCACCAUGUAUUGAGCUCUAACCUUCCUUUCUUCUUCUAUGUCUAGGUUGGCUAGACGAUUCUUCUCCUUUUCAUCUUCUAUUUUCUUUAAAAGAAGUUUCCUUCCCUUCUUCAAAGAAUCCAUCAUCUCCUUAUCCACAUUCACGCCUUUUGUUGACCUCUUAACCUUAGCCAAUUCUUCUUCCGCUACCCCAUUCUUCUUGACCAACUCGUCAUAAUCAGCUAUUCGAUUCCUUAACUCAACCUGGACCCCCGUUGUUACCUCUUCAGCUACCUCGGCCCUUUUCUGCCAUUCCUUUAGAGACAUUAGUUGUUUCUCUUGUUUUUCUAACCGCUGAUUCAAGAAAACCCUCAUCGUAUUUUCCUCCUCGAGCUGGUUCUCUAGCAGUUGUUGUCGCCCCUUGCUUUUGCUGAGUUCUAUUAUACAUUGAUCUAAUUGUUUUUCUUAGAUCUUCUUCGUCAUCCUUUCUUUUCCUUUUCUGUGGUUCUAUCGCUGCCUCUGGCUGUUCUUGUGUAGAGAGACCCUUCGCUGCAGAAAAAUCUUCAUUCCUCCAAACUGUAUAAUUAUGGCUGAAUGAGGUUUCAAAACUACUUCCUUCUUCUCUUUUUACCUUCACGGGCCUUUCCCAAUCCUGUCGGAUAAGCGCCAUUUCUUCUAUGAACGGUUGGUGCUUGAAUAACCCAAUAAAAUCAGCUAAACCCAAGGUUCUUGGCGUAUAUUGCAUUCCGCCCAACUGCCUUGUUACGAGGGCGGGCGCAUAGCUGAUGUAACCAGUUACACCAAUUAGAGGAACCCAUAUCUUGCUUCCGCAGCUCAUUGUGCAAAUAGCGUUGUUCAUCCACGGCGCUUUCCAUUUGAAGUUGCUACUUGGCAAUGCUGCAUACUUAUCCCUCCAUGCUUUCUCAUCCCAAUUCUUCCAAGUCUCAUCUAUGGUAAUCUUUAGCGGUCGCAAGUCAAACCACCAAAAGUUGUUGAAGAUGUCUCUCGGUGCUUCGAUAUGACUAAUUAUCCAUAGGUACAACAUAGGGACGCAGCAUCUCAUAGCUCCUUUUCCAUGUGUCCGGCAGUGACUAAGAGAUAACAUGGUUUCCCCCAAGAUGGCUGAGGAAGGAUUGAUCCGGUCACGCUCAUACUCAACGAAGACACUUGCUGCUUCUAAACUGAUGACCCCAGUUUCAGAAGGGAACAACACUAGCCCAAAAAUAGCGAAGGCCACCAACCUAUAUCGCUCGUCUCCCAACUUGCCUUCUUCGGCAUUUUUCCUCAUUCGGGCUUCAAUGACCUUCCAUUUAAAACCCCCUUCAGCAACUCUACACUGGCUGAUCUUUCCUAAACUUAAUAAGCUGAUUACUUCCGAAGCUGUGUCUUCAAAUCUGCGUCGGUGGUAGAUUCGGUGGCUAUCAUUUGGAAAGUCCAGAAUUCUCUCAUAUUCUUCCAAAGUGGGUGUCAUAUCGAUGUUUCCAAAGGUAAAACACCGAUAACUCGGAUCCCAAAAAUGCAGAAGGGGCUUUGAUCGCCGCUGCUUGUACAGGUAACCUCAUUAUCUGUGUAAUUCUCCCAUAUCGCCUUUCAAACAAAGUCUCAUCGACAUAUUCCAUGAUAGGCAGCAACUUUCCUAAGUCGUUUACCAUGUGAUUUACCUUGGUAAUGCAUGGUAAACCACUAGUAUCGAUUCUUGGGCAUUUUCCUUCGGCAAUCUGAGCCAACUCAGACUCUUGUCCAUAUUCUUGGAAAGAGAGGUACUUAGUCAUGAUUUCAGCUCAAAAACCUGGGUAGAUGAAUUCAACAGUAUUAAACGUGAUGCAAAAUGAAAGUAAGAUUCACAACCUAAGGACAAGCUCUAAUUAUCAAGUGAGAAUGGGUAGUUUUUCUAUCUGGUCUUGAAGGGUCUCAUAUCUGCCCAGUGACGUUCUUCGUAAAGAAGUAUGGGGGCGUUGCAAGGAACAGUUAAGACACGUAUGCCCACCAUUACCAAGCAGGCACUCAGAUAUGAGUUGGGUGUUUCACGCAUUUAAACCCUGACCAAUAGUCUUAGGGUAAAUCGCUAAUUCCCCACUUAACUUAAAGCUUGUGUGUGCUUUUUAAAAUUAAAGCAAGUGAUGCAUGAGACAAUUGUAUAGAAUGCAUGAAUAAUAUGAAUAAAAUAAAAUAAAUACGCAAAUAAAAGGACAGGCAUAUUAACAAUAAACACCCAAAAAAACACAAACAAAUCAGACAAAAACAAAGCUUAGUCUACAAGGUCCCCAGUGGAGUCGCCAUUCUGUCGCACGUAUGCGGCGUCGCGGCGAAAAACUAAGUUUUCCAUUUUUAAAACCACAAUGUAAUAUAUAUAUGGGGAUACGAGAAAAAUAUUUUUUUUUGGUAAAAAUGGAAUGGGAGUCGCCACCUAGUAUUUUGGUCACUAGGAACCCUAACUGGUCUCAGAGAUCGGGUACGGGGACUGGUUGCGUAAAGGGAAGGUAUUAGCACCCCAAUACGCCUUACCUAAGGUAAGCUGCAUUGUUUAUUGUCUGAUAAAACUAUGGUGUUUUUUUUUUCUAGUCGUUGGUCUGUCUAUGGUUCAAGAAAAAUCCUCCUCAGUAAGAAGGUCUUUUAUCUUAUCGGGUAAAAACUUAACCGUUCUAACGUCUACCAAAAAAAUAAUAUUUAGGAAUACGUUUUACGUAUAAAUUCGUAAUCCCAAAUACUAAAAGAAAACAAAAAGAUUUUUUAGAAUUUUUGAAAUAUUGGCCUAGUUCUCAUGGCUUAAAUAAACUGGUUAUUCAAGCCAAAAUGCAUGCUAAUACAUAUAUUGUUUUGAAAAUUUUCUUUGUUGUGUAAAAAAUGAUGUUAUAAUAUUUAUAUCUAUAUAUAUGGAGAGACUAAGCCGUAUUUUAAAGACAAAAACAAUUUUUGAAAAUAUUAUUAUUAUUAAUUCUUUUUUUUUUGCUUUUUUUGACGUAAAUCGGGUAUUUAAAUACUGAGCUUGUAUCCUUACGGUAUAAAAAUACAACCCAAUAUUAUUCCACCUUAAUAAAAAAUGCAGAAAAAUCAAACAACAUUUUUAGGUAUUUUUAGAAAUUUUUUUGAAAGCAAAAACAUUUUUUAUUCGAAAAAUCUUUGAUAUUUUUACGAAAACCGGGUAUUUUUAACACUGGUUUGAUAUCUUUACAGUAUAAAAAUACCAACCAACAUUAACCCAUUUUGACAAAAAUAUUCAGGGAAAUCAACAAUAUUUUUUAAGAUUUUUCGAAAUAUUUUUUUUUUAGUAAAAAAUAUACACAAUAUACACACAUAUAUAUUACAAUAUACUAUAAUUAAUAAUAUAUUUAUAAUAAAAAUUCGGGUUGGGCGGACCAAAUGAAUGGGCCGAACCCAACCCAGCCGGAAUCGGGCCCAACAUCAGCCCGAAACAGGAGUGGGCCGAUCGCAGCCCAGCAAAAGGCUGGGCCGAUCUCGGCCCGCAAGGAGGUUGGGCCGAUCUCGGCCCAACGAAAGGCUGGGCCGAUCUCGGCCCGCAAGGAGGUUGGCCGAUCGGCCCAACGAAAGGCUGGGCCGAUCUCGGCCCGCAAGGAGGUUGGGCCGAUCUCGGCCAACGAAAGGCUGGGCCGAUCUCGGCCCGCAAGGAGGUUGGGCCGACUCGGCCAACGAAAGGCUGGGCCGAUCUCGGCCCGCAAGGAGGUGGGCCGAUCUCGGCCCAACGAAAGGCGGGGCCGAUCUCGGCCCGCAAGGAGGUUGGGCCGAUCUCGGCCCAACGAAAGUGGGCCGAUCUCGGCCCGCAAGGAAGUGGGCCGAUCUCGGCCCACACAAGGCUGGGCCGAUCUCGGCCCGCAAGGAAGUUGGGCCGAUCUCGGCCCAACACAAAAAACAUCUUUAGCCUGGGCCAGACUCGGUCUGGCCCAAAAUGAAUAACAACAAAACUGGGCCGGAAACCCGGCCCAGUGUUAAAAAAAACUCAGCGGGGAAGGGAAAACAAUUCCCUUCCCCUACCUCCUGCAUGCAGAACGAUUCUGCAUGCAGGAGGACAAACAGAAAAAAAAAGUGCAGGGGGUGGAGGAAAUACCUGGCACGGCGGAGGAAAUACCCGUGUUGAUGGUGCUGCAGCAAAGUUGGUGGCUCCCAAGCGACGGUGCUUAACAGUCGGGUGUCCUCUCGGGUCGUGUCGGUUAACGUUUUCUCUAACUCUCCCCACGGCUUCAGUCUUCUUCCCCUCCUCCCCGUGCUGUUUCUUCGAGUUUUAGGUGUUUAGUUCUACUGUUUAAGUCGUCUCUCUCUCCUCCAGUUUCUCUCUCUCUCUUGGUCUCGGUCUCCCCUUUUUUCUCCUCUUUUUCCCCCGUGCUUCACAUCUUUCCUCUUCUUUUAUAGGCGGGCAAAGGAGCGGGGCUGCAUGGGCAGCGUGGGGAGCAGAACAAGGUGGGUCGAGCUGGGCAACGUGGGGGGCAGCGCCGGUCGGCUGGUCGGUGAGCGUGGUCGAUCACGGCGUGGCCCUCCUGGCUUCGCGUCGUCCGAGGUGCAUGGGCCUGGUCUGUCAGUGCACGUGAGGAGAGAGGGGCACCGGUUGAUUAAACAACGGUUUCGUCCAUGCUGCUGCACGUUCGGGGAGGAAGAAGAAAGGGAACAGUGCCGUUCAAAACGGCACCGUUUGGUCCCUUUUUUUUUUUUUUUUUUUUUUUUUUUUAAAAUAUAUGAAACGGCGUCGUUUUGGGGAAAACGCGCCGUUUCAUUUAAAAAAAGGCGCCAGAAUACGCAAAAUUUCAACUCAGCCCUCAAUUAUCUUUUGAUUCCUUCAAUUGCGUCCCUGCCAAUUUCGGUCCUCGCCCCCAUAGUUGGCCGCGUUUUUCAUCUUGGUCCUUGGCCUCUGAUUUAUGCAAUUAAGCCCUCAAUUGACCAAUAAACUCCAAUCUUCAAUUACGCCCCUGAUCAAUCAAGACAGCCCUCUAUUUACCGCGCGUGUUCCAAAUUGGUCCCUGGUUUCGGAUUUUCACAAUUAAGCCCCUAAUUGGCCAUUAAACUUCAAUAUUUAUGCAAUUAAGCCCCUGAUUUGGCCUAAUAAAUUCCAAAAAAAUAUAUUUUGGCCCCAGAACUUAAAUUUCUCCCAAUUAAAACCCAAAUUGACCUAAAAAUAAAUUUUUCUUGCACUCCAAUCCUCUAUAAAUUCAAAUAAAAUCCAAUUAAGUCCCUAAACAUCCAAAUUUGGGCUUUUCUCCUCAAAAAUUCAAAUUUUCCUUCUCAACAGGGCUCUCAUCCUUCAAGAAAAUAUUGCCAAAAAUCCAAUCUCUGUAUUUUUAACCUCCGUGACCAAUCUUUCGACCAUUUUCUGAGCGCUUAUGCCUCCUGUUAUUUUUUCUAACCUUCUUCGGCUAUUUAUUUAUUAUUAUUUUUUUGUGGGGAUCCAAAAAUGGGUUACAACAAUAAUAUACAAAACGGACAUCUAGUUCUUGUUCGUAAAUUCAAAAUCAAAUGGUGGGAUUCUUUCAAAAGUUCCAAAUUAGCUGUUACAGAAUGGUUACAAAAACAUCAAAGAACUCCCAUCAUUGAUCAUCAUCCUCAAUCAAAGUUUCUAGCUAGAAAGGCUCAAACGGCAGCUCUCCUUACCUUUGCUAGAACUGAAGAAGAAUACCUACAAAUAGUUCAAAGCAUUAUACAAAGCCAAGACCAGAAAACGGUCUUGUCCCAAUCCAGCUCAUCUAGAUCGAUAUCUCCUGUCAUUUCCCUUGGAGAUGAUAAUGAAGAUGAUUGUUUUGGUAUCCUACCACCUAUCAAGCAACAUUAAAAAAAAAAGAGUAUUUUUCAAGCUUUCUCAGGCUCAUCUGUUUAGAGCCAUAUCUUUUCGACUCACCUGUUUUAAGUUCUUUUUUAUUUUAAGCCCAUUUGUUUUAGGCUUUCUUUUACAAAUAUUACCUACUACUACAAACAAACAAUCCAGUGUCGGUGGCAAGAAGACAACAGAUGAAAGUCCCAUAAAAAACAUGGGCAUUUUCCAUUUUGUCGUCACCCAAUCAUGGCAGGCAAUACCACAUGGGUUCACAGCAAUACCACAUGGGUUCUGAUGGAAUCUUCAAGCUUUCCCAACAAGACAUUUUGGCCUCUUCCAUGUCAACUCGUCUAUAAAAGGGGACUCCUAAAUCUUUAGAAGGCAGAGUAUCAUUUUCCCUGAUAAAAUUUUAUUCUCCCUUGUAACCCAUACCUGUAACCUAUAUCCACUCUCCUAUGUACCCAAUAUCUCUUGUAUUAAUUUACAUUACAAAUUUAAAUACGACUCUAUUUUCAUUAUUUACAUUCUUGUUAUAUUUUAUGUAUGUUAAGUAUGCUCUGUGUUUAAUCAAGGAUCCUGACAUUGUUGGUCUUGCCUUGUUCAUUCACAUCAGAAAUAUGUUUAUAUUAUAUAUUUCUUUGAUCUUUUCAUAAAACAGCAUAUAGGCUGGAAACUUGUGACCUGAUCUUUUAGAUCAUUCUUAGGUAUAACAACGCCACGUACUGAGUAUUUCUUUUCAUAUUUUGGUGUGUGUGUGUGUGAGAGAGAAAGAGAGAGAGAUAAAAUUAAGACCAUUGAGGUUAUUUUUUAGGCUUUGACUCUUUUUCUUUAAAGCUUUGACGUUUAGGGGUGAGCAAAAAAUCAAAUAACCAAUUAAAUUGAGAAAACCAGAAAAAAAAAUCAAACCAAGACAAAAAACUGAAUUAAUCGAUUAGAAAAUGAUAAAAAAAAAAUCGGUUUAGUUUGGUUUCCAAAGUCUGAAACCUAUUGAAUCGAAUCGGUUCAAUUAGGUCAGCACUUGAAAAAAAAAACAGGUAUAAAUAAGAUAUUUUUUUCUAACCCUAAACCUAAAUCGGUAUUCCCAACCGCCCCCUCCCUUUGCUCCGCCUCUCUUUAUCUCUCGUCUCUCUCAAAUUGCCUCCUUCUCCUCCGUGCUCCAUAACUAUUAAAAUAUAUGCUCCUCUAUCCUCUCGAUCAAAGGCACACUUGAAAUUAGAUAGUUUUAGAAAGGAAAGACAUAAGAGGAAUUGAAAUCACUGAACUAAAAAGAAAGGGUAUAUAAGCUGAAUAAAAGGUUAACAUAAAAGUUCUCAAAAAGAGAAAUGUUGAGAGGGAGCUUAACCAGCUAAAACAAAAGGAAAAGUGACUUCUACCACUUAACGAAGAUAAAGAUGGAUGGUUAGGAUCUAUAAACUUUUUGUAAUUGGUUUCCUCUCAUUCAUAUAAUAAUGAUUUGAUAGUUUUACAUUUCAAUAACUUUUGAUCUCUCUUUUUUUUUUUUCGCAACCAAAUUACUUCAUUUCUUUUAUUUUCUUUUCUUUUGUUUCGUGUAUCUUUUUGCGAAGUUUAAUUUUUGGGCAAGGAUCUAACAAAAAAAAAUAUUAAGAUUGAUUUUCUGAAUAUCAUACAUGCCUAAUAGCUUUAAGAAAAAGUCAUACUUGUUGAAAAAACCAAGAUGUCUUGGAAAAAUAUGGCUAAUAAAAAAACUUAGAAAAAAUUCAACCAAAAUAAUUUUGGUUUAAACCGGUUUGGAAUAAAAAAAACCCAAAUUAAACCGAAUUAAAACUAAUCAAUUUAAAAUAAUUUUUAAUUUGAAUAAAAAACUUUUAAAAAAAUUAAUUAUUUAUUUUAAUUCAAAACCGUACACGACUGAAAAUGCUCAGCCCUAUUGACGUUCGUGGUUUUGAGGGUGAGAGAAAUGGAAAGUAAAGGGGAAAGAGAAGAGGGUUGCUAAGAUGGAAACCACUUAUUUGAUCUACAGGGGUUCCAUUCUGAUAUUACCAAAUUUCCACGACAGAUGAAAUCACAUAUAAGCCCCUCAAUUAUUACAAAAUGUCAAAAAAAAAACUCAUAAAACCAUCCCAAACUACUAGAUAUUUAAAGUACAGUGAACAGAGACACAAAGGAGAAAAUAAUAUUGGACUCAUUAAAAACUAAUAAGAAUUCUGCUAAAAAAAUUAUUAUUAUUUCAUGUUUCUAUCUUUUAAUUAUAUUGUGCAUUUUUUUUUAUUUGGUAAUUUUAGAACGCUGUGAUAUUGCAUAAAGGGUUUGUGUUAAUCGUUAUUCUCUUGUGGAGCAAAAAGUAAAGCAAGCAUGGGCAGGAGGACAGCUUCUUGCUCUCUGUUUCUGUUUUUCACUCUUUUCACAACCUUGCAGAGUCCAAUUCUGGCUGCAAAAAAGGCAAGCUAGCAUGCAUUAAUGUUGUCUGAUCGUUUAGUCUUUCAAGUUACAUUUGCAAUCUAUCUUAUGUUAUAAUUCUGCUACUGACAGUGAUACCGGUGUCUGUGUACGUACAGUCUUAUGUGGUUUACCUUGGGAGACAAUCUUAUGCUUCUGAACCUUCCACCACUGACCUGGAUAGGGUAGCCGAUGCCCAUCAUGAACUUUUGGGUUCUUGUAUGAAGAGGUGAUGCAGUGCUGAGAAUUUCAGAUCUGUGAUCCAUGGUGUAUUUGGUUGUUCUAAUACUGAUGAUCAAGUUUGAAUUCGUUAUGACAGCAAGGAGAAGGCGAAACAAGCCAUCUUUUACUCCUACACUCGUUAUAUUAACGGUUUUGCAGCAGUACUGGAAGAUGAAGAAGCAGCUGAAAUUUCAAGUAUAUAUAAUACUAUUAUAAUUGUUCAGCAUGUAAAUCGUGAAAUCCUUGAUAAUAUUACAAAUAUGGUCUUGUUAAUACGUUUUCAGAGCAUCCAGAAGUUGUAUCAGUUUCUCGAAACCAAAUAAGGCAAUUACACACAACAAAUUCUUGGGGCUUUCUUGGACUGGAAAGAAAUGGAGAAAUUCCAGCUGAUUCUAUGUGGCUAAAGGCAAGAUUUGGUGAAGACGUAAUUAUCGGGACCCUUGAUAGUGGUAAUUAUAAUUUUACAUGUCUGUGUACAUGCAUAGAACUGGUCAAGUCUCCUUCAUAUCAUUUCAUCUUCUUAAUUUAAAUGCAUUCAAUUAUUUUGGACCAGGUACAGCUACCUUGCAUCUGAAAGAAAAAUCUCCAAUGAUGGUUAAUUUUCAAUCUAUUAUUCUUGACUGUGCAUGAUGCUAGGUGUUUGGCCAGAAUCCAAAAGCUUCAAUGAUGAAGGGAUGGGGCCUGUUCCAUCUAAAUGGAAGGGAUACUGUGAUCCAAAUGAUGGGAUUAAAUGCAACAGGUACUUUAAUUUCUUUCUCAAGGCCAGAGCUCUUUUCUUGACCUGAACUACUCAUUUUGCCUCUGAUAAUGAACCGCAGACAAAUUCUUCCGUUUCCUAUAGUAAGAUUAGUAACAUAAAAGAUAUGUUGUUAUUAGCAGGAAACUUGUAGGAGCAAGGUACUUUAGCAAAGGCUACGAAGCAGAAACACAUGAUUCUUCAUACCACACCCCGCGAGAUUAUGAUGGCCAUGGAACCCACACUCUAUCCACUGCUGGAGGUCGUUUUGUUUCGGGGGCAAACUUGCUUGGUUCAGCUAAUGGAACAGCGAAGGGUGGUUCGCCCAACUCGCGAGUCGCUUCAUACAAGGUCUGCUGGCCCCUCUGUAGCGAUGCUGAUGUGUUGGCUGGCUUUGAAGCUGCUAUUCAUGAUGGGGUCGAUAUCCUCUCAGUGUCACUUGGAUCCGGUCCGGGAGAAUACAUUACUGAUGGGAUUGCAAUUGGAGCAUUUCUUGCUAUGGAGCGCGGGAUUCUUGUGGUUGCCUCGGCUGGAAAUGAAGGACCUGACCCUGGAGUCGUUGGGAAUGUAGCUCCCUGGAUUCUUACAGUUGCUUGUAGCACUAUCAGUAGGGAGUUCACAUCUAAUGUCAUCCUUGGAAAUAACAAACACUACAAGGUUUGUUCUGUAAGCUCAUAUCUUUAGCAAGUCCUUUUAAAUUGUUCUACCUAUCAUGGGAUCCAAGAAUUUGCUAUAUUAAUUUCUAGAUAAUCAGGGUAUGAGUUUUAAUACCAACACUCAACCAGCUGGGAAGUUUUACCCCUUGAUCAAUUCGGUGGAUGCUAAAGCUGCCAAUGUUUCCAGUAAUCAAGCGUAAGCAGCAAACUAAUUUUGUUCUCAGCCAAAAUUACAUUUUCUGUAGUUGUCAGGUUCAUAUUUCUUAUCUUGUUGUCUUUGGCAGAAAAUAUUGCUCCAUCGGAUCCCUUGACCCCUUGAAAGUUAAAGGAAAAAUUGUAUAUUGUACUCGCAACGAAGAUCCUGAUGUAGAAAAGAGUCUGGUUGUUUCUCAAGCUGGUGGUGUUGGGGUGAUACUUGCUAACCGAUUGAUAAUUCAACAAAUCCGACCUUGGUGUUGGGGUGAUACUUGCUAACCGAUUGAUAAUUCAACAAAUCCGACCUCGGGCACACUUUGUUCCUACUUCCGUUGUCUCUGCAGACGAUGGACUUUCCAUUUUAACUUAUGUUUAUAGUACAAAGUAAGGUCUAUGUAAUAGAUAAUUCAGACAAUUAAACUCGGUUGAUUUCAGUCGAUAAUGCGCUGAACAAUCUAUCGUUUGCGAUCCUGUGAAUCUCUUGGAACUUCUCCUUUCACUCAGGUCACCUGUAGCUUACAUAAGUGGCGCCACGGAGGUGGGAACAGUGGCUGCACCUGUCAUGGCUGAUUUUUCAUCUCCUGGGCCUAACUUCAUCACCCCAGAGAUCCUUAAGGUACGUACUCUUAACAGUUUCAAAUGAGCGUUUUAAAAUACAUGCUCAAUAUUAUUUUUAUAGUGAGAGUGCAUCUGCUGAUUUCAGCCCGACAUCACCGCACCUGGAGUCAAUAUUCUAGCUGCCUUCACCGGAGCAUCAGGGCCAACUGAUGUGCCAGGAGACCGGCGCCGAGUACAUUUCAACUUUUUAUCUGGAACCUCAAUGGCAUGCCCCCAUGUUUCCGGAAUCGCUGGUCUUCUCAAGACUAUGCACCCUGAUUGGAGUCCUGCUGCAAUUAAAUCUGCAAUCAUGACAACGGGUUAGUGCUUUUCUGCUCUUCGCAUUAGCAUCUUCAAGUUAUUGGUGGACGAGUCAUUGAUACCUUGAGUGCUUGCUUACGACAUUUCAGCGACAACGAUCAGUAAUGUGAAGCAGCCUAUCGCGAAUGCUUUUCUUCUUGAGGCAAACCCAUUGAAUUAUGGUGCCGGGCACAUCUGGCCUAGCCGUGCAAUGGACCCAGGCUUGGUCUAUGACCUAACGACUAAAGAUUACGUGAAUUUUCUAUGCUCCAUUGGCUAUAACUCAACCCAGUUGUCACUUUUUAUUGGGAAGCCAUACAUAUGCCCGUCGCAGAACAAUGGCCUGCUGGAUUUCAACUAUCCAUCCAUUACUGUCCCGAAUCUCUCAAGCAAUAAGACCACGUUGUCCCGAACCUUGAAGAACGUGGGGACUCCAAGCUUGUAUAGAGUUAAUAUCAGGGCACCUGGAGGCAUAUCUGUGAAGGUUGAGCCAAGAAGCUUGAAGUUCGAUAAGAUAAACGAAAAAAAAAUGUUCAAGGUCACUCUAGAGGCUAAGAAAGGGGUUAAGAGUGAUGACUAUGUGUUUGGAGAGAUAACCUGGUCUGAUGGGAAACACCAUGUGAGGAGUCCUGUUGUGGUGAAGAACAUGGAAGUAGCAGCCUAAGAUUGAAGGACAAUGACCAGGCGUCUGGAUUUGUAGGUGGAAGGCCAGCGUGUAGAGAUCUAUGUAUCUCCAUGGUCAACAAAUCGAUCUUCAAAUUCCCGUUCCAUGCCAUGACAAA
rnacentral:lncRNA from 1 species